CGCCUACCCCAAGUCCGACAUCGUCAUCGAGACCCACAAGGAGGAGGAGCUCACCGCAUAAGCUGCUUUACCUAUCUCUCUUUGCAAGAUAAUAUCACGGACCCUGAGACCUGUGUAAACCCUGAGAGCUGAUUUCAUGCAUGCACGGACAUUGCCAGAUACACCGAAUUGUUUGUGCUCGAAUGAAUUGCUCGAUGCAUGGUUUGCUCAAGUAAUAAUGUCUUCGAAUUACUACCUUUUUGUACCGUAAGAUAUACUACUGCCGUAAUACUAGCGUGUACCUUGUACGUAACUCGACGUACUGAAAUGAAUCCUGAUGGCUGAGGCGUCUCUCUGAUUAAUAAUAUCUUCUCUUUAAUUAAGAGACUGCUGAAUUACUUGAUGAACAUCUUACCUGGGACUUUCUUCUAUAUCCAGAUAAUAGGUGCAUGCUACGACUUGUUUCAAUAUGAGUUACACAAUUUCCUCAUUAUUUUGUUUACCCACAAGGAGACCUCUUUUCCGCACUCAUUUUUGUCCUCACUACUGAUUUGCUCCAAUCCAUUUUCAAUGAAGCUUUGGACAACAAUUUGAUAGGUUUGCCCAUUAUCACUAAGAAUAACAGAGAUUUCCUUAUAAUCCAGUAUGCAGAUGACACCAUUAUUAUCUUGCAUGCAUGUCCCUUGCAAAUUCAACAAGUUCAGAACAUAUUGAUGCAUUUUCGGGUUUACACAGGUCUCAGGGUCAACUACAACAAAUCCAUGAUGGUUCCCAUGAAUGUACCUGCUCAUAACAUCAAGCAACUCUCAGCUAUUUUAGGUUGUGCCCACAGUAGUUUUCCCUUUACUUACCUUGGACUUCCUCUUGGCAUUUCUAAACCCAAGGUUGAAGAUUUUGAAAAGGAUUGGAUCUAGACUUGCUGGUUGCUCCACAAUGCUUUCCUAGGGAGAGAAACUCAUUCUUGUGAAAUCUGCUUUCACUAGCCUACCUACUUCCUUCAUGAGCAGUUUAGACCUCCCCAUAGGAGUUGUUGGCCAUAUUAAUAAAUACUUGAGACAUUGCUUUUGGAGGAAAUAUGGGAUGGACGACAGACGUACUUCUCUUAUAUUCUUGGGAUAAAAUUUGCCUUGCUAAGGAAGCUGGUGGACUUGGAGUUCUUGAUGUGCAAACUCAGAACAAAGCUUUGUUGAUGAAAGAUCUGCAUAAUUUUUUCAAUAGUUCUGACCUCCCUUGGGUGGACCUUAUGUGGAGCUCCUACUAUACUUCUACCCCCUCCUCAUGUCACACCUGUUGGUUCCUUCUGGUGGAAGUUUAUUCUCAAAUUAAUCCCUGAUUUUAAAGCCAUCUCUUCCUGCAGCAUGGGGCAAGGGAACUAUGUUCUUCUGUUAUUUGAUAAUUGGGAUGGUAACAGAUUCAUUGAUAGAUUCCCUGAGCUUCAUUCUUUUGUUGUGAAUGACCAAUUCUCAAUUGAGCAAGCAUUGCACAUCAACCCUCCAGAGGAUCUAUUCCAUAGGCCACUCUCCACCCAAACUUUCCAGCAGUUCCAGGGUUCCCAAAACUUUAUGAAUAAUAUUCAGUUUUCUGGCUCCAAAGACAAAUGGUCUUACAUCUGGGGAUCUUCUCAGUCCUCUAUUGCAAAGGUUUACAAAACCUUGAGGGUUAAACCACCUACACCACCUCUCUUCAACCUGUUAUGGAAGAGCUCAGUAAUCCUUUGAUAUAAGAUUUUCUUCUGGUUUCUCCUUCAUGAUAGACUGAAUUCAAGAGAGCUUCUACAAAGAAAAUCCUUGUGGCUACCCAAUUAUGAUUGUGGAAUGUGUGACACUAAAUCCUUGGAAACUGCUUUUCACUUGUUUUGGAACUGCCCUUUUUCUAUUCAAUGUUGGGAGACCUCGAUUCCGCAGAUAUUGAGGAACAACUCAGUUUACACAUAUAUCCAACUAGCGGUGCCCCCCCCCCUCCUGAUUUGGCCCUGGACAUCAUAAUUAUGGCUUCAUGGAAUAUAUGGAUUCAAAGAAACAAUGCAAUGUUCAAAAAUACCACACACAGUGUGGCCUCCUGGAAAAUAUUGCUUAGAAGAGAUCUCCAAAUUCUGGCUCACAGAAGACAACAAAGUAGCAAGACUGCAAGCCUGGAUUAAAGUUAACCUUUAAUUUCUCAUGUUGCCAAAAGGUGGGAUUGGUUGAGUUGUAUUUUCUUUUUUCUGUUUGUACAUACUUUUAUUAUUAAUGAAAAUUUAACCAUACAACUAUUGUUCUAUGAUCAGUGCCUAAAAAAUGUUUGAGGCUAGCAGAAUGUUUGUUUACAUGGUCCUCAUUUUUUUCUGAAAAGGGAUAAUAUGUUUGUAAGAUCGUGAAUGUCACCUAGAGGGGGGUGAAUAGGCGCUUUAAAAUAAUUACGGUUUAGGCUUGAACAAAUGUGGAAUAAAACUAGCGUUUAAUUUGUCAAGCACAAAACCUAAAACAACUAGGCUCACCUGUGUGCACUAACAACUUAUGCUAAGCAAGAUAAACAACUAAGUGAUAGAAAGAUAUAUAACAUGUCAUAUUAUGGCUAUCACAAAGUAAAGUGCAUAAGUAAAGGGCUUGGGUAAGAGAUAACUGAGGCACACGAAGACGAUGAUGUAUCCCGAAAUUCACACCCUUGCGGAUGCUAAUAUCCGUUUGGAGCGGUAUGGAGGCACAAUUGUUGGGGAACGUAGUAAUUUCAAAAAAAUUCCUACGCACACGCAAGAUCAUGGUGAUGCAUAGCAACGAGAGGGAAGAGUGUUGUCCAUGUACCCUCGUAGACCGAAAGCGGAAGCGUUAGAACAACGCGGUUGAUGUAGCCGUACGUCUUCACGGCCCGACCAAUCAAGCACCGAAACUACGGCACCUCCGAGUUCUAGCACACGUUCAGCUCGAUGACGUCCCUCGAACUCCGAUCCAGCCGAGUGUCAAGGGAGAGUUCCGUCAGCACGACAGCGUGGUGACGAUCUUGAUGUUCUACCGUCGCAGGGCUUCGCCUAAGCACCGCUACAAUAUUAUCGAUGAGGACUAUGGUGGAGGGGGGCACCGCACACGGCUAAGAGAUCAAGAGAUCAGUUGUUCUGUCUAUGGGGUGCCCCCCUCCCCGUAUAUAAAGGUGUGGAGGAGGGGGCCGACCAAGGGGGUGGCGCGCCCUAGGGGGGAGUCCAACUCCCACCGGGAGUAGGACUUCCCCCUUUCCUAUUAGGAGAGGGAGAGGGAAGGAAGAGGAAGGAGGGAGGAAGGAAAGGGGGGACCGGGCCCCCUCCCAAUUCGGAUUGGGCUUGGGGGGGCGCCCCCUCCCUUGCUCCUUUCCCCUCCUUUCCACUAAGGCCCAAUAAGGCCCAUAUACCUCCCGGGGGGGUCCGAUAACCUCCCGGAGCUCCGGUAUUGUCCCAAUCUCACCCGGAACCUUUCCGAUGUCCAAAUAUAGUCGUCCAGUAUAUCGAUCUUUAUGUCUCAACCAUUUCGAGACUCCUCGUCAUGUCCGUGAUACACAUCCGGGACUCCAAACAACCUUCGGUACAUCAAAACUCAUAAACUCAUAAUAUAACUGUCAUCGAAACCUUAAGCAUGCGGACCCUACAGGUUCGAGAACUAUGUAGACAUGACUGAGACACGUUUCCGGUCAAUAACCAAUAGAGGAACCUGGAUGUUCAUAUUGGCUCCUACAUAUUCUAUGAAGAUCUUUAUCGGUCAAACCGCAUAACAACAUACGUUGUUCCCUUUGUCAUCGGUAUGUUACUUGCCCGAGAUUCUAUCGUCUGUAUCUCAAUACCUAGUUCAAUCUCGUUACCGGCAAGUCUCUUUACUCGUUAUGUAAUGCAUCAUUCCGUAACUAACUCAUUAGUUACAUUGCUUGCAAGGCUUAUAGUGAUGUGCAUUACCGAGAGGGCCCAGAGAUACCUCUCCGACAAUCGGAGUGACAAAACCUAAUCUCGAAAUACGCCACUCAACAUGUACCUUUGGAGACACCUGUAGAGCUCUUUUAUAAUCACCCAGUUACGUUGUGACGUAUGGUAGCACACAAAGUGUUCCUCCGGUAAACGGGAGUUGCAUAAUCUCAUAGUUGUAGGAACAUGUAUAAGUCAUGAAGAAAGCAAUAGCAACAUACUAAACGAUCAAGUGCUAAGCUAACAGAAUGGGUCAAGCCAAUCACAUCAUUCUCGUAAUGAUGUGAUCCCGUUAAUCAAAUGACAACUCAUGUCUAUGGCUAGGAAACACAACCAUCUUUGAUUCAAUGAGCUAGUCAAGUAGAGGCAUACUAGUGACAUUAUGUUUGUCUAUGUAUUCACACAUGUAUCAAGUUUCCGGUUAAUACAAUUCUAGCAUGAAUAAUAAACAUUUAUCAUGAAAUAAGGAAAUAAAUAAUGACUUAAAUAUUGCCUCUAGGGCAUAUUUCCUUCAGUCUCCCACUUGCACUAGAGUCAAUAAUCUAGUUCACACCGCAAUGUGAUUUAACACUAAUAUUCACAUAUGUAUGUGAUUAAUACCCAUAGUUCACAUCGUCAUGUGAUCAACACCCAAAGGGUUUCUAGAGUCAAUAAUCUAGUUCACAUCCCUAUGUGAUUAACAACCAAAGAGUACUAAGGUAUGAUCAUGUUUUACUCAUGAGAGAAGUUUAGUCAACGGGUCUAUCACAUUCAGAGCCGUAUGUAUUUUGCAAAUAUUCUAUGUCUACAAUGCUCUGUACGAAGCUACUCUAGCUAAUUCCUCCCACUUUCAAUAUGUAUCCAGAUUGAGACUUAGAGUCAUCUGGAUUGGCGUAAAAGCUUGCAUCAUUGUAACCUUUUACGAUGAGCCCUUUUAUCACUUCCAUUAUCGAGAAAUAUUUCCUUAGUCCUCACUAAGGAUAUUCUUGACCGUUGUUCAGUGAUCUACUCUUAGAUCAAAAUUGUACUCCCUUGCCAAACUCAGAACAAAGUAUACAAUAGGUACAUAACAUAGCAUAAUUUAUAGAACCUAUGACUAAGGCAUAGGGAAUGACUUUUCAUUCUCUUUCUAUUUUUUGCCAUGGUCGGGUUUUGAGUCUUACUCAACUUUCACACCUUGCAAUACAGGCAAGAACUCCUUCUUUGACUGAUCCAUUUUGAACUACUUCAAAAACUUAUUAAGGUAUGCACUCAUUGAAAAAUCCUAUCAAGCGUCUUGAUCUAUCUCUAUAGAUCUUGAUGCUCAAUGUGUAAGCAGCUUCACUGAGGUGUUUCAUUGAGAAACUCUUAUUCAAGUAUCCUUUUAUGCUUUCCAAAAAAAUUCUACAUUAUUUCCGAUCAACAAUAUGUUAUUCACAUAUACUUAUCAGAAAUGUUGUAGUGCUCCCACUCACUUUCUUGUAAAUAGAGGCUUCACUGAAGUCCGUAUAAAACUAUAUGCUUUGAUCAACUUAUCAAAGCGUAUAUUCCAACUCCGAGAUGCUUGCACCAGUCCAUAGAUGGAUCGCUGGAGCUUGCACAUUUUGUUAGCACUUUUAGGAUUGACAAAACCUUCUGGUUGCAUCAUAUACAACUCUUCUUUAAGAAAACCAUUAAGGAAUGCAGUUUUGACAUCCAUUUGCCAGGUUUCAUAAAAUAUGGCAAUUGCUAACAUGAUUCGGACAGACUUAAGCAUCGCUACAGUUGAGAAAAUCUCAUUGUAGUUAACACCUUGAACUUGUCGAAAACCUUUUUGCGACAAGUCGAGCUUUGUAGAUAGUAACACUACUAUCAACGUCUAUCUUCCUCUUGAAGAUCCAUUUAUUUAUGGCUUGCCGAUCAUUGGGAAAGUCCACCAAAGUCCACACUUUGUUCUCAUACAUGGAUCCUAUCUCAGAUUUCAUGGCCUCCAGCCAUUUCGCGGAAUCUGGGCUCAUCAUCGCUUCCUCAUAGUUCGUAGGUUUAUCAUGGCCUAGUAACAUGACUUUCAGAACAGGAUUACCAUACCACUCUGGUGUGGACCGUACUCUGGAAGACCUACGAGGUUCUAUAGUAACUUGAUCUGAAGUUUCAUGAUCAUCAUCAUUAGCUUCCUCACUAAUUGGUGUAGGAAUCACUGGAACUGAUUUCAGUGAUGAACUGUUUUCCAAUUCGGGAGAAGGUACUAUUACCUUAUCAAGUUCUACUUUUCUCCCACUCACUUCUUUCGAGAGAAACUUCUUCUCUAGAAAGGGUCCAUUCUUGGCAACGAAUGUCUUGCCUUCGGAUCUGUGAUAGAAGGUGUACCCAACAGUUACUUUUGGGUAUUCUAUGAAGAUGCACUUCUCCGAUUUAGGUUUGAGCUUAUCAGGAUGAAACUUUUUCACCUAAGCAUCCCAACCUCAAACUUUAAGAAACGACAGCUUAGGUUUCUUGCUAAACCAUAGUUCAUAUGGUGUCGUCACAAUGGAUUUAGAUGGUGCCCUUUUAACGUGAAUGCAGCUAUCUCUAAUGCAUAACCCCAAAACGAUAGUGGUAAAUCAGUAAGAGACAUCAUAGAUUGCACCAUAUCCAAUAAAGUGCGGUUACGAUGUUCGGACACACCAUAAUGUUGUGGUGUUCCAGGUGGCAUGAACUGUGAAACUAUUCCACUUUUUUUUAAUUGAAGACCAAACUCAUAACUCAAAUAUUCAUCUCCACGAUCAGAUCGUAGAAACUUUAUUUUCUUGUUACGGUGAUUUUCCACUUCACUCUGAAAUUCUUUGAACCUUUCAACUAUUUCAGACUUAUGUUUCAUCAAGUAGAUAUACCCAUAUCUUCUCAAAUCAUCUGUGAAGGUCAGAAAAUAACGAUACCCGCCACGAGCCUUAAUACUCAUUGGUCUGCAUACAUCAGUAUGUAUUAUUUCCAACAAGUCAGUAGCUCGUUCCAUUGUUCUGGAGAACGGAGUUUUAGUCAUCUUGCCCAAAAGGCACGGUUCGCAAGCAUCAAAUGAUUCAUAACCAAGUGAUUCCGAAAAUCCAUCUUUAUGGAGUUUCUUCAUGCGCUUUACACCGAUAUGACCCAAACGAUAGUGCCACAAAUAAGUUGCACUAUCAUUAUUGACUUUGCAUCUUUUGGCAUCAAUAUUAUGAAUAUGUGUAUCACUACGAUCGAGAUCCAAUAAACUAUUUUCAUUGGGUGUAUGACCAUUGAAGGUUUUAUUCAUGUAAACAAAACAACAAUUAUUCUUUGACUUUAAAUGAAUAAUCGUAUUGCAAUAAACAUGAUCAAAUUAUAUUCAUGCUCAACGCAAAUGCUAAAUAACAUUUAUUUAGGUUUAACACUAAUCCCGAUAGUAUAGGGAGUGUGUGAUGAAUAUCAUAUCAAUCUUGGAACUACUUCCAACACUCAUCGUCACUUCCCCUCAACUAGUCUCAGUUUAUUAUGUAACUCCUGUUUCGAGUUACUAAUCUUAGCAACCCAACAAGUAUCAAAUACUCAGGGGCUACUAUAAACACUAGUAAGGCACACAUCAAUAACCUGUAUAUCAAAUAUGCCCUUGUUCACUUUGCCAUCCUUCUUAUCCACCAAAUAUUCAGGGCAUUUCCGCUUUCAGUGAUCAUUUACUUUGUAGUAGAAGCACUCAAAUUCAGGCUUUGGUCCAGCUUUAGGCUUCUUCACGGGAGUGACAACUUGCUUGUCAUUCUACUUGAAGUUCCCUUUCUUUCCCUUUGCCUUUUCUUGAAACUAGUGUUCUUGUCAAUCAUCAACACUUGAUGCUCUUUCUUGAUUUCUACCUUCGUCGAUUUCAACAUCACAAAGAGCUCGGGAAUUGUUUUCGUCAUCCCUUGCAUACUAUAGUUCUUCACGAAGUUCUAGCAACUUGGUGAUGGUGACUAGAGAACUUUGUCAAUCACUAUCUUAUCUAGAAGAUUAACUCCCACUUGAUUCAAGCGAUUGUAGUACCCAGACAAUCUGAGUACAUGCUCACUGCUUGAGCUAUUCUCCUCCAUCUUUUAGCUAUAGAACUUGUUGGAGACUUCAUAUCUCUUAACUCGGGUAUUUGCUUGAAAUAUUAACUUCAACUCUUGGAACAUCUCAUAUGUUCCAUGAUGUUCAAAACGUCUUUGAAGUCCCGAUUCUAAGCCGUUAAGCAUGGUGCACUAAACUAUUAAGUAGUCAUCAUAUUGAGCUAGCCGAACGUUCAUAAUGUCUGCAUCUGCUCCUGCAAUAGGUAUGUCACCUAGCGGUGCAUCAAGGACAUAACUCUUCUGUGCAGCAAUGAGGACAAUCCUCAUAUCACAGAUCCAAUCCGCAUCAUUGCUACUAACAUCUUUCAACACAGUUUUCUCUAGGAACAUAUCAAAAUAAACAUAGGGAAGCAACAACGCGAGCUAUUGAUCUACAACAUAAUUUGCAAAAUACUACCAGGACUAAGUUCAAGAUAAAUUUAAGUUCAAUUAAUCAUAUUACUAAAGAACUCCCACUUAGACAGACGUCUCUGUAGUCAUCUAAGUGAUCACGUGAUCCAAAUCAACUAAACCAUGUCCGAUCAUCACGUGAGAUGGAGUAGUUUUCAAUGGUGAACAUCACUAUGUUGAUCAUAUCUACUAUAUGAUUCACGUUCGACCUUUCGGUGUCCGUGUUCCGAGGCCAUAUCUGUAUAUGCUAGGCUCGUCAAGUUUAACCUAAGUAUUCUGCGUGUGCAACACUUUUGCACCCGUUGUAUUUGAACAUAGAGCCUAUCACACCCGAUCAUCACGUGGUGUCUCAGCAUGAAGAACUUUCACAAUGGUGCAUACUCAGGGAGAACACUUCUUGAUAAUUAGUGAGAGAUCAUCUUAUAAUGCUACCGUCAAUCAAAGCAAAAUAAGAUGCAUAAAGGAUAAACAUCACAUGCAAUCAAUAUAAGUGAUAUGAUAUGGCCAUCAUCAUCUUGUGCUUGUGAUCUCCAUCUCCGAAGCACCGUCGUGAUCACCAUCGUCACCGGCGCGACACCUUGAUCUCCAUCGUAGCAUCAUUGUCGUUUCGCCAUAUAUUGCUUCUAUGACUAUCGCUACCGCUUAGUGAUAAAGUAAAGCAAUUACAGGGCGCUUGCAUUUCAUACAAUAAAGCGACAAGCAUAUGGCUCCUGCCAGUUGCCGAUAACUCGGUUACAAAACAUGAUCAUCUCAUACAAUAAAAUAUAGCAUCAUGUCUUGACCAUAUCACAUCACAACAUGCCCUGAAAAAACAAGUUAGACGUCCUCUACUUUGUUGUUGCAAAUUUUACGUGGCUGCUACGGGCUGAGCAAGAACUGUUCUUACCUACGCAUCAAAACCACAACUAUAGUUUGUCAAGUUAGUGUUGUUUUAACCUACGCAAGGACCGGGCGUAGCCACACUCGGUUCAACUAAAGUUGGAGAAACUGACACCCGCCAGCCACCUGUGUGCAAAGCACGUCGAGAGAACCAGUCUCGCGUAAGUGUACGCGUAAUGUCGCUCCGGGCCACUUCAUCCAACAAUACCGCCGAACCAAAGUAUGACAUGCUGGUAAGCAGUAUGACUUGUAUCGCCCACAACUCACUUGUGUUCUACUCGUGCAUAUAACAUCUACGCAUAAAACCAGGCUCUGAUGCCACUGUUGGGGAACGUAGUAAUUUCAAAAAAUAUCCUACGCACAUGCAAGAUCAUGGUGAUGCAUAGCAACGAGAGGGAAGAGUGUUGUCCACGUACCCUCGUAGACCGAAAGCGGAAGCGUUAGAACAAUGCGGUUGAUGUAGUCGUACGUCUUCACAGCCCGACCGAUCAAGCACCGAAACUACUGCACCUCCGAGUUCAAGCACACGUUCAGCUCGAUGACGUCCCUCGAACUCCGAUCCAGCCGAGUGUCAAGGGAGAGUUCCGCCAGCACGACGGCGUGGUGAAGAUCUUGAUGUUCUACCCUCGCAGGGCUUCGCUUAAGCACCGCUACAAUAUUAUCGAGGAGGACUAUGGUGGAGGGGGGCACCGCACACGGCUAAGAGAUCAAGAGAUCAAUUGUUGUAUCUAUGGGGUGCCCCCCUCCCCCGUAUAUAAAGGAGUGGAGGAGGGGGCCGGCCAAGGGGGGUGGCGCACCCUAGGGGGAGUCCAACUCCCACCGGGAGUAGGACUUCCCCCUUUCCUAUUAGGAGAGGGAGAGGGAAGGAAGAGGAAGGAGGGAGGAAGGAAAGGGGGGCCGGCCCCCUCCCAAUUCAGAUUGGGCUUGGGGGGGGUGCCCCCUCCCUUGCUCCUUUCCCCUCCUUUCCACUAAGGCCCAAUAAGGCCCAUAUACUUCCCGGGGGGUUCCGAUAACCUCCCGGAGCUCCGGUAUUGUCCCAAUCUCACCCGGAACCUUUCCGGUGUCCAAAUAUAGUCGUCCAAUAUAUUGAUCUUUAUGUCUCGACCAUUUCAAGACUCCUCGUGAUGUCUGUGAUCACAUCCGGGACUCCGAACAACCUUCGGUACAUCAAAACUCAUAAACUCAUAAUAUAACUGUCAUCGAAACCUUAAGCGUGCGGACCCUACGGGUUCGAGAACUAUGUAGACAUGACCGAGACACGUUUCUGGUCAAUAACCAAUAGCGGAACCUGGAUGUUCAUAUUGGCUCCUACAUAUUCUAUGAAGAUCUUUAUCGGUCAAACUUCAUAACAACAUACGUUGUUCCCUUUGUCAUCGGUAUGUUACUUGCCCGAGAUUCGAUCGUCGGUAUCUCAAUACCUAGUUCAAUCUCAUUACCGGCAAGUCUCUUUACUCGUUAUGUAAUGCAUCAUUCUGUAACUAACUCAUUAGUUACAUUGCUUGCAAGGCUUAUAGCGAUGUGCAUUACCGAGAGGGCCCAGAGAUACUUCUCUGACAAUUGGAGUGCCAAAACGUAAUCUCGAAAUACGCCAACUCAACAUGUACCUUUGGAGACACAUGUAGAGCUCCUUUAUAAUCACCAAGUUACGUUGUGACGUUUGGUAGCACAGAAAGUGUUCCUCCGGUAAACGGGAGUUGCAUAAUCUCAUAGUUGUAGGAACAUGUAUAAGUCAUGAAGAAAGCAAUAGCAACAUACUAAACGAUCAAGUGCUAAGCUAAUAGAAUGGGUCAAGUCAAUCACAUCAUUCUCCUAAUGAUGUGAUCCCAUUAAUCAAAUGACAACUCAUGUCUAUGGCUAGGAAACACAACCAUCUUUGAUUCAAUGAGCUAGUCAAGUAGAGGCAUACUAGUGACAUUAUGUUUGUCUAUGUAUUCACACAUGUAUCAAGUUUCCGGUUAAUACAAUUCUAGCGUGAAUAAUAAACAUUUAUCAUGAAAUAAGGAAAUAAAUAAUAACUUUAUUAUUGCCUCUAGGGCAUAUUUCCUUCAAAAAUGCCCCCCAGGAAACCACUAGGGCCACCGUAAUCUCCUCAUGCCCUUGCACAAUGCAAGAUGCCAUGAUUCCACUAAGGGACCCUUGAGGGCAGUUAUCGAACCCGUACAAAUGGCAACCCUAGGGGGAGGUCACCGAACCCGUACACUUUGGCAACCCUUGGGGCGGUCACUGGAACCCGUACAAAUUCCUCGGUGCAAUCUCCACAACCUAAUUGGAGACCCCGACGCUUGCCCGGAGCUUUACACCACAAUGAUUGAGCUCCGAGACACCACAAACCAUCUAGGACGCCCAAGCACCCAAGAGGAACAAGCUCUAGGGUACCAAGCACCCAAGAGUAAUAAGCUUCUCAACUUUUCACUUCCACGUAUCAACAUGGAGAACUCAAAUUGAUGCAACUAGUGCAAAGGCAAGGGCACACGAAGUGCCCAAGUCCCUCACUCUCAAAUCCCAUCAAAGCAACAAAAGCUAUGAAGGAAAAUGGGAGGAAGAACAAGAAGGAGAACACCAAGAACUCCAAGAUCUGGAUCCAAGGGGUUCCCCUCACAUAGAGGAGAAAGUGAUUGAGGAAAUGUGGAUCUAGAUCUCCUCUCUCUCUUUCCCCCCAGAAAAUAGCAAGAAUCCAUUGAUUAAUUGAGAGAUAGCCAGCUCGAAGAAGUUCAACAAUGGGGGAAGAACACGAGCUCAAAGGAUAAGAUGCAAUGGGGAAGAAGACCCCCUUUUAUAGGCCUCUCCAAAUCCAACUGUUAUGCACACAGCCCAUGCACAAGCGGUAGUACCGCUCGGGCGAGCGGUACUUCCACUGGCAUGGUAGUUUCAUCCAUAAUGAGCAACUAAGAAACUCAAGGAGGCGGUAGUGCUACCGAAGCGGUACUACCGCUCCCAUACUACCGCUAGGCGUUGCGUGUAUAGGUGAAACACCGAUAGUAUAGUAGAGCAGCGCGGUACUACCACCCACUACUGCCGCUCUACUUCCGCACAGAGGAAAAUGUAUCCAGAGGCUAAAAUAUAAUCGGAAGUAGCAGCGGUAGUGAAGGGACCGUGGUACCGCUUAUAAGCGGUACUACCGCCCACUAUUGCUGCUCUACUUCCGCUUGAAGGAAUACAAAGAGCAAAACAUAAGCGGUACUCCAUGCGGUAGCUCAUAGUGUAAGUACCGCAUAAGCGGUACUACCGUGGAGCUGGCCGGAACUACCGCUUGGGAGCUAAAAACUGCCCAAGCACAAAAGGAUGCAAGCGAGACCGAAACUGCCAUAACUUCUGCAAAUGAACUCUGAAUUGAGCAAACUCAAGCUUGUUGGAUAGAUGACGACAAAUAGUAAGAAGUGGCAGGGCAAGUAUGCCUAUUAUAUAUAGGAAUGAAACCUCUAUCAGUGAAGAACCAUCAUAUACUCCCACAUCAAAAACAUCAUAGAGGAUGCACAUGAACUCUGUUUCGAAGAACUCGAGCUUGUCAUGAAGAUGACCAUAAGCUAUAAAACUCACAAAGAGAAACACCAAAUAAGAACCAAGAAAGAUGAUGCAAGGAUGCAAUGGUUUGAGCUCUCUACGAACGAUAUGAUCAAGCUACUAACUUGAGAGCCCCCCCUUGAUAGUAUGACAAUCGAUCAUAUAACCCGGUCUCCCAACUACCACCAUGAGACCGGUAAAAUAGAAAACCUAUCAAGGGCAAACCUUUGCCUUGCACAUAGUCCACUUGAGAUAGAUGAUGACGAUCUUGACUUCCACAAGUUGGACCAUGAUAACCCACAAGUAUAGGGGAUUACAGUAGUUUUCGAGGGUAGAGUCACUACUAGGAAAAGGCCUGCUAGUGGCGCACCUGUUUUGGCUACUAAUGGCGCACUACAGGUUCGCCAGUAGCAUCACGCCAUUAGUAAUUAAUACUAAUGGCGCACCCCUGGUGCGCCAUUAGUAUACCAGAUACUAAUGGCGCACCAGAGAGUGUGCCAUUAAUAUAUCACACGGUGCGCCAUUAGUAUGCCUCCCAGGGGGCCAUAUUUACCCAUGUGCUCUGGCUUACUAAUGGCGCACUUGUAGAUGAUGUGCCACUAGUGUGCUUGUUGCAGUGCGCCACUAAAGUGCAGAGUGGUGUGCCACUAGUAUGAAUAUUAGGGAUUUUUUUUCUUUUCUGAUAUUUGCACAUGUUACAAAACAUAUUACUGCACAGAAUAUAGACAACACAACAUAUAAACAGCAGAUUUAUCGAAUACAAUAGAAGAUUAGUCUCCAAAUACAAUUCAUCAUAUUAGUCUCCGAAUUUAAAAUACCAAACAAAGUUAGAACAUUACAAGUCUCGAGACUGCGAGUAGCGGGUUUGUCUUCACAUUACAAGUCGAUAUCGAUCAUCUAAACUACCAUCACAUAGAAGAGAGCUGCGGUCAUCACGAUGAGCAUCAUCACGAUGAAACUGGUCUUCAACCGGUUCCUCCAACGCUCCCUCCUCUCUCCCGCUAGAUAGCGUGUGUAUCUAACUUCCACCUCCGCCCUAGUGGUGUACCCUUUGUAACUGUUAUCGCUGAAACAGUGAACCUGUCUCCAACACUCCUCCCAGUCGUCGUAGACUCCGGGAACCUUACCCUUGUACACAACAUACGAUGACAUAUCUAUGCACUAGCUAAACAAAAUGUUAGUAGCAAUUCACAGACAAUACAUAAGCAAUAUAUAAGUAUGCAACAAAAGGAUCGGAAGAGAAAAGCAACACAUUAAUAGCACGAUUCAUGGUCCUACUAAUAAAUAGCAUCGAUUACAUAUAAGUUGAACGACUAUCCAAACCAAAGAGACAUACAAGUUCAUUAAAGUUUAAUAUUACAACAUGAGCCAAUCGACAUUUCAGAACUACAUAGCAUCACUACUUUCGACUCGACUCAGGGACCGGAGGGUGGAUGAAGCCGCCGUCUUUCGUGAUGGUCAUGAAAUUGCGGGCGUUGUCAGCCUGCAUUUGUAGCAUUGUUUCUAUCUCACUGUUGGACAGUUGAUAUCUGAGGUAGAACUGCCCCGAGGUACGAAGGACAUCUUGAUGGAUGAUUUUCGCAAACUCCGACUGGAUGCGAUAGAAUUCUUGUCUGAUGUCUGCGUCCUGGAUUGCCGACAAGCGUGUGGCCCCGUACGAUCGCCCACAUGUGAUGGAGGGCAUAGUAGGCAUCCUUUUGACUUCCAGGCGGCUGAUUGACGUAGAGGAACAUCGUAUUGUGGGUGAACAUGUGCUUGCCGUACCUACGAAUUGUCCUGGUGAAGGUGCCUCCAGAUCUGGCGUAGCCGGGAAGAACAUCAUCAAGAACUUUCUUGAUAUUUGUGUAGUCUUUCUUCGACUGACGGUCUGAGUCGAAAUACAUGGCCAUGGAAUAUUUCAGGCUUAAGAGGAUGAGUGUGCAACAUGUGUCACUGCACAAAACACGGAAUGUUAGAAAAAAAAGAACGAUCAAAAUCUAAGAAAUCAUAUGUUACGGGGCGGUGAGGGGAUGACUUACUCGGGAAAGUAAGGCACGAGGAAGUUAUCCUUAUCUGGGUUUGCCAGAAUGACGCCUUCGAGGUGUGAACUCGCGACUUGCCGGUCCCCAGCGCUGCCCAAGAUCUUGGCACGCAUGUAGAAGGGGUCGACUAUCACGAUGUCCGGGGUCUUGUAUCUAAUAAUCCGCAUCUCCAUACUCAGCGAAAAUAGCCGAAUGAAGGUGUAGUGCAGCGGAUGAAGGUUAAACAUAGUGAAGAUGUCAUCAAACCACAGGACGAUUGUACCCCCGAUGGCGCUAUCCACAAAGCCCUUGCCCUCUGGCACCUUGGCCACAAAAAUCGGGUAUGCCACAUCAUUCUCGAAAAGACGCUGCUUCUCCAAAGAAAGAACACUGUCAUGCAGACUCUGCAUAGCACCGGUUGCAGCAUUGAGCAGAUUAGUCGGUAGCAUCGGCCUACCCGCCACAUGCACCCUCCUCGAGAUAUCCUUAGGUGAAGGUGGCCCGUCCUGAGAACGGAUCGUACUCGGUGCCGGCUGGCUCGCACCGCCCUUGUUAUUCUUUUGUUUCCGUCCCAUCUUCUUCUGAUGUAAUGGGAUCGAGUUCUGCUCAGAGACCGCCUUCUUGAGUGUGUUGGGGCUGAUAAUAUUUCGCACCUCAACUAUCUGAGGCUCGGUGAAGGCGGCAGCUGGAGGUGUCUCCUGAGAACUAAACGCCAGAUGACGCCUGUUGCAAUUGGGUUUCUCCGUGGUACCAGCUAGACUGCGGUCGUCUUUUGCAGGGUUGGGUUCUUGAGAAGGAGGCCCCAAGAAUUCGUCACUAUACCCAUGUUCGGCAAAGUACUUAUCAACGUUGGUAAAUGUAUCGUCGUUGUCAUCGUCGUCGUUUGGAUCCUGUGCCAUAUGCAUGUCCGGCAUGUCCAGUAGCGUUGCGGCGGUCUUGCCAUGGCUUGGCACCGGCACGACUAGCGGUGUUGUCCGUGGGGUGCUGUCCCCCGCCCCCAAACGAAUUUGGCUCUUCAGCCAAAGCAGGGGCCAGCUUACGCAGGCGCUGAGGGUCAUCAAAUCAUCUUCGUCGGCCCCAGUGGGUCGAAUCAGAGGUAAAAACUCGUCGUAGCCUGGCAGCACCCGAACCAGUUCAACCAUAUACACGGUGGGUGGCAUCGGAUUACCGUGGAACACGGGGUUGCCCGGUUGAACGAUUCUGCCCUUGGCAACAUCGAUCAACUCGCCGCCCACGAAGUGCAGGAGAGUGCAUGGAAUGUCGGCGGCACCCUGUGAAAACAUGUAGGGCGUCAGGGAUGCCCAGUCAAAGGCAAGGAGAUGAAGUCAUCGGCCGAGAGGCUUAGUUACCGUGAUGGCGUCGAUCUCGGCUAAUGUCGAGGCACCGCCAAUGGCGGGCAUGCAACUGACGGAGGGGCCGCUUGCUGCCGAGGUGCCGGCCGGCGUACACCCGGGUGCAUUAAGCUCCAAUGCCCGUGCCGGCGCCGGAGACACCAAUACCGCCUCCGCCAGAGACACCAAUGGCGCCACCUGCGCGUUGUGCGCGUUGCUGGCCGUGAAGCUGGGAACCGGGGGCGGCCCCUGUUGGCCGCCCACAAUCCACGCCUGCAGCCCCUCAAUCAAGGUAGGCACAAUGGCGGUGAGCGUCGUUCCCAGUUGGUGUUGCACUAGCUCUUGGACCAUCUCCGGAAUCCGCACCACUUGUGCCUUGAGUUCUUGAACCUUGCGCGACUGGCUUUCUGAGCUGGUCUUUCUCUCCUUUCGCCCACCUGCGUUAUAGUAUGACGACCAUUUUGUGGACAAGCCUUUGUCGGCCACACGACCAGCUGAUGACGGCUUACUGAACUUAUCCUUGUUUUUCAUUAUGUUGAACGCCCUAUUUAAAGUGUUGUCCCAAGGGGAGCUCUGAGACGACCCCGCGCUACUGCUUUCAGUCUCCCGCGGAAGGAAUGUGAACCAUUUAGAAAUUUGGCUUCAUUAAUUAGAAUGCAACCAUAUGGAGCUAAUUACGCGGGGGUGUAUUCCUUACCAGAACACGCUCAAGCGCCUUGGUCUUCGCAUCCGUGGUAAGCUCCUUUGUUACUGGGUCCUCCUUGUACCGGUCCCUGACAUAGUUCCUGGUCUGCUUGUCACAGUAUUUCUCGAAGCGGGGCGGUAGGCCUUGCUCGGCACGCUCCGCAUCCUCCUUGUCCCAUAUAAGUUCCGCCACUCUGUAACCGCCGGGACCGAGUUGGUGGACCCCUAAAUUCAAGUCCCGCAUUUCUUUCCUCCACUGACUUGAUUCCACGGUCGUGCUUCUCUCACACUUGAUCUUGAACUCCUUGUAGUCAUCUUCGUUGAUCGAAGGAUUUUUCGCCUUGAUCUUCUCAUAACUAUCACCUUUGUCAAUCAUUCUCUUCACCGCGCUUCUCCAAGUAGACAGGGCCGUGCUCAUCUUCAUGAGGGCGGCACUGUUCACUUUAUUCCCUGAGAGGCGUUUGUUUGCAAAAUCAGCGGGGAACUUGUAUCGUUCGUGUAGCUUCAUGAAGAGGAGGCUGCGCAAAUUCCCUCGGUCAGGAUGCCUUAGGUUCUCGGUGUUGAUCGAGACGGUGCUCCGAAGAAUGCACCCGAGCUGAACCGAGUACCCCUUGACUAAUUCUUUGGGCACCGUUGGAUGCCCGUCGGAGGACACUUCAGUAAAUUCCUCCUUGACGGUGCCGAGCAUGUUCGGGCGCCGGUCCUUCUGUUGCCUCUUUGGUUGGCUGCCAUCUGUGUGUGCGCUGCCAUCAUCAGUGGUGGCAUCCUCGGCGGCACCAUCAGUGGUGUCAUCCCCGACGCCACUAGGGGUUGUGUAGUCAGGAUCGGUGUCUUCCGCGGCAUCCUCAUAGCGGUGAGGUUCUUCCUCCAUCUCUUGGGACAGCUCACAGAAUUGCUUGCCCGAACCGCCGGCCUCAUCGUUGUGGGCCAUGUUUUGCUCUAAAUAGGAAAGAAGUUUGGUCAAAAAGUUGGUUAUUGUCAAGGAACAAGAUCAUGGUCUCAUCAUUUAGGAUUUAUCGACAUCGAGGCAUCCUAAAAGCUAAGCUUUUAUCGUUUAGGGUUUGUCGACGCCGUGGCACCCUAAAAGCCUAAGCUUUCAUCAUUUAAGUUUUUAUCGACACCGAGGCACCCUAAAAGCCAAGGUUUUAUAAUUUAGGGUUUGUCGACGCUGAGGCACCCUAAAUGCUAAGUUAAGUUUUCAUCAUUUAGGGUUUAUCGAUGCCGAGGCACCCUAGGUUGACUGAUAUAUAUGGGUAUCUUCUAAUAAUAUACCCUAUCAAGAAAAGGGAAGGAUAAUUCUAAGUUGGGCCAAAUCACUUGGCUCUAUUACCACCUAUGGUUUAAUGCAGCAAGAAUAAAGGGGCAGUUGAUCCUACUUAAUUAAGUACUAAGAUACCCCGACCCAUGCAUUAGUCGCAAGUACCCCAUAUGUCCUAUUUUUAGCAAAGUCAUGCUAAAAUUCACGGAAAAUUUCAGCAUGACCUUUGCUGAAAAUAGGACAUAUGGAGUACCCAAAUUUGCCGGAACGGAAGUUAAUCGACAUUCCGGCAAACUCAAGGGCCUCUCAGGGUACCUGCAAAAUCAUUAUCCCCGCGUAAUGAAGUAGCCAAUGGGUCAUUUCAAAAUAUCACAAGUAGCAUCAUCACAAGUACAACAUCAUCACAAGUACAGCAGCAGUAGCAGUGAAUACAGGCAUAACAGCAGCAGCAACAGGUUUAUUCUUCUUCUUCAUAAACACUAGUUGUCUAAUUGAGCAAUACAGCGACAGUGUGAACAAAUAAAAACACAAACUACACCUACAUAUUUGGGUACCUCUAUGGUAGUAACAUGCCAUGCUCUGCCUAGAGCUACUGCAGCAAUCAUUGUUAUACAUUUCUCUGAAUAGUAUAUAUGGCUUGAAAUGGCAGAACAGGUUACAGUAAUUAGAUGAAUGAAAUGCAUAAGUGUCGAAUCAAAACAAUAUAAAAAAUACCAUGUUCCCUAUGCUGUUUUGAUACACGAUAUGGGUGAAGUGACAUGACACUUCCAAAAACAAGGAUACAACAAUCACUGGUCCCAAAUGAUAAUACAAGGUGGUGUAGAUCUCUAAGGAGCGGCAUUAAAAGGGAAGGGCAUGCGGCAAGAUGCCAUCAAGCUCCCAGCAACAAUGGUCGGGGAGCAUGUCCACAUUAUGCAUGAGAGGAAGGCUUGUAUACAUUAUAAAGUAUGUUUUAAAUAUUUAAACAUCGACAUGAUUCAGAUACUGAGAAAAAUAGAAUGGAAUCAUUGUUAUAGGAUGCAACAGCUAUGACAACUCACUGAAGUAUCAGGGAAAUCUUUACCUAGCAACACAAGUUAAUAGGCUGAUAUUUUCUCCAUAUUUUUAUUGAAAAGGAAGUUCAAACCUCCUGGCAGUCACAAGUGACAGGAGCUGUGCCUACCACUAGGAUGACCACUUUAAUUUUUUUGCUUCUUUUUUUGAGAUAGAAGCACUUUCAGUCUCAGAAACAAAGAUCACACAGCUUUAUAAAAUCAACUUUACAGGAAGUAUUCGUGUAAGGAAACAUUAAUAAGUAUCUAAGUGUUUUUAGUUCAUUUUAUACAAAAGACAAACAACAACCCUUUUCUUUUGCAUCGGAAGAAAAUUCUAGUACUAUGUGAUAAGCUUUAGAAAAUGGAGUACUUACAGCAACUAUGCAGGCAAUCAAUCCAGGCUUCUCCCGGUGAUCCAAAGAAACAAAGAAUAGAAGAAAAGCACCAAUAUACCAGAGAAUUGCAGCCAAGAAGAACCCUAGUAAGAACCUUCAAAACAAAACCAACCUAAAGUCUUUAAUAUGGAUUGAUUGUGCUUUCAUUUUAAAUUUGCAGGUAAGAACAAUGAACUUAUAGAAACUCCUUAAUAUGAAUAUUAUACCGAUGAUAAAAGAUGUCAGAUUACUAGUAGAUAGCAAAGCAGUAGACAACACACUCAGAAGUAACCAUGCCAGUUUAGGAUAAUCCUCUGCUGAUGCAUCAACUUAUAUCCUAAUCCAAUUCCAGUACCAUUUGAUCGCACCAUAUAUUAUAAAUAUGGCCAUGGGCCCUUACCAACCUGACCAAUACGAGUACUAGCACCUCACAAAUUCUCACUAGCAAGCAUAUCUUCCAAAUGCUGCUCGCCGAACUUGUUAAUGAAACAGUUACUCAUGCAAUCCCCCAUUCACAUACCAAGUACUCAUACAGUCGUACUGAACCAAGUGCUCAUGUUGUUACCUUCUUCAAGAGCUUCCUAAUUUUGCCACACCGAUCACAUUGGAGACAAACACCACCAAAAUGAAGGACACUUACAAAGCCCAGCCAACGCCGACGCCAUAGAACGGCAGUCGCGGCUCCCGGACUGGGAGGCCCUCCACCAAGACCUGCUGUUGGAUAGUGCACGGGAAAGCAACAACGCCCUGAGCAGGAAAGUGCUGCUGGAUAGUGCAGAGGCAGGGAAGUGUUAGUACCUGUAGAGAAACCUAGGGGGAAGGAGGGGAGGAGAGAGGAGGAAUCACCUAGAGGAGAACGGCAGGCAGCUGUAGGAGGACGCUGGCGUCGAGGAGGCUGCGGGCGGUGGCGCGUCGAGGAGGCGGCACGUUCUUGCUUCCCCAAGGACCGAGACGGCGAGGCGGGCCGGUGGCAGCGUUGGAACCCUAGCGUUGUUCGGUCGGAGCACCUCGUCGGAGAGGGCGCGACGGUCAUCAGAGCGAGCGAGAGGGUCGUCAGAGCGGGUGUGGAGCGGGCGCAGGGAUCAUCGGAGCGGGUGUGGCGAGGGAGGGAAGGGGGAUCUGGCGAGGGAGGGACGAAGGGGGAUCGGGCGAAGGGGGGAUUAGCUAGAGGGGGGAAGGUUAGUAAUGGCGCACCCCCUAGCGGUGCGCCAUUAGUAAUCUUUUUUUGGAUAGCGAUGUCGCACCUCCUGGCAGUGCACCAUUAGUAAUCUUUUUUUGGAUAGNNNNNNNNNNNNNNNNNNNNNNNNNNNNNNNNNNNNNNNNNNNNNNNNNNNNNNNNNNNNNNNNNNNNNNNNNNNNNNNNNNNNNNNNNNNNNNNNNNNNNNNNNNNNNNNNNNNNNNNNNNNNNNNNNNNNNNNNNNNNNNNNNNNNNNNNNNNNNNNNNNNNNNNNNNNNNNNNNNNNNNNNNNNNNNNNNNNNNNNNNNNNNNNNNNNNNNNNNNNNNNNNNNNNNNNNNNNNNNNNNNNNNNNNNNNNNNNNNNNNNNNNNNNNNNNNNNNNNNNNNNNNNNNNNNNNNNNNNNNNNNNNNNNNNNNNNNNNNNNNNNNNNNNNNNNNNNNNNNNNNNNNNNNNNNNNNNNNNNNNNNNNNNNNNNNNNNNNNNNNNNNNNNNNNNNNNNNNNNNNNNNNNNNNNNNNNNNNNNNNNNNNNNNNNNNNNNNNNNNNNNNNNNNNGCGGUGGAGCGGGGAAGGGUGCGGGGGGUCGGCAGCGGCGGUGGAGCGGGGGAGGGUGCGGGGGGUCGGCGGCGGCGAGGAGGAUCUGAUGAGGGGGGGUAGCGAUCGAGAUGGAGGGGGAUCUGGCACGGGGGGUGCGCCAUAAGUAACUUUUUUAUUAUUACUUUUAGUUGCGUCUAAUAUUUUUUUAGAAAAUGACGAUCAAAUUUGAAAAAAAUUAUGAAUGUGAAAAAAUAUGAUCAAAUUUGUUAUUUGAAAAUAUUUAUGAAUAUAAAAAAAUAUCAUCAAAUUUGUUAUUUGAAAAAAUCAUCAAAUUUGUUAUUUAAAAAUAUCAUCAAUAUUUUUUUUGGAUUUUUAGUUGCAUUCAUUUGUGAAUUGGUAAAACAUUUAUGAAUAUGAAAAAAUAUCAUCAAAUUUGAAAAAAUAUUCAUGAAUUCAAAAAGUGCCCAUGAAAUUUAAAAAUAUUCAUGAGUUCAAAAAAUAUUAACAAAUUCAAUACUUUUUGUGAGUUAGAAAUUCAAUACCAUAAUAAACAUAAAUAAAUAUUCAUGAGGACACUAGAACGGAAGAAAUAUCAUUUCAAUAUCUCGAAAUACAAUCGAGAAAUGAAGGCUACAAUUUACAUACAAUCGAUCUUAGCUAGCUAUAUGUUCACAAUCUACUUUCCCUUAUUUUUCGCAAAUGGAGUUCUUCUCUUGAACGGACGCCCUUUAGGUAAGGUGGUCCUGCUUCUUCUUGUGGUGUAUGCUGGUACUUCAUCAUCGUCGUCAUGUUCCAUCUUCGGGUGGCCGUACUUGUCGAAGUCUUGCUCAUUGGCGACUCCAUCCAUUUCGAUGAUCUUCCUUUUGCCUCUCCUCACGACGACACGACUGGGCUUUGACGGGUAGGUAAUGAAGAAGCAUUGGUCCACUUGGGAAGCUAGUACCCGUGGCUCAUUUUUCGCGGUGACGUUUGCGCCCGCGGUCUUGGAUUUGGCUUCGGGUAUAACCAUGGUGGUGAAAUACCGAUCUUCUUUUAGGAAGCUCUUGGCCCAUCUGACAGGGAACAUCAGGACCUUCUCUCCAGCGUAGCUCAGCUCCCAGAUCUCCUCGAUCCUUCCGUAGUAUCUGUCCUUGUCGUUACCGGUGUAGGAUUCCAUUGUUACCCCGGAGUUCUGAUAACCAUCGCUCUUCAUGUCCUUUCCCUCGGUGUAGAAUGUGUAGCCAUUGAUAUCGUACGCCUCAUACGUCAUCAGAUUGUGCUCGGCGCCCUAUGACAAGGUGAAUAUGAGUUGUUCUUCCGCGGAAGAAUCCUCAUGUAAAGGGUACGACAGAAGCUUCUGCUUGAACCAACGCGUGAAACAUGAGUUGUGCUCUUUGAUUAUAUCUCCGUUCAUCCUCUGUUGGCCUCAGUCAUUGUACGUCUUCUCAAUAAAGGUUUUGUGCUCUACCACCCAAGGAUCGACCAUGUCUAUGUGUUGUAGCGCGACUAGGUUUGCUCUUUCAAAGUCGGCGAGUCGACCCUCGAAGUCGAGAUGCAUUUCACGGCGACCAUCACGGUGACCCCAUCCAGCGAGCCUGCUGAGGUGCCUGUUGAUGGGAAGACCAACGGUGUUCUCGAUGCCUAGAUAAUUCGUGCAGUAGGAGAUGCACUCUUCGGUCAGAAAGCCCCUGGCCAUGCUUCCCUCUGGACGUGACAUGUUGCGAACGUAUCCUUUGAUGACACCAUUCAUCCUUUCGAACAACAUCAUGCUGUGCAGGAACGUCGGCCCGAGUUGGAUGAUAUCCUCCAUGAUAUGGACCAGCAGAUGCACCAUAACGUCGAAGAAUGCGGGCGGGAAGUACAUCUCAAGCUCGCAUAGUAUCACCAUGAUCUCUUCAUGUAGCCUUCUGAGUUGCCUCACGCCAACCGACUACUGAGAGAUGACGUCGAAAAAGUUGCAUAGGACAAAUAGCGUUUCACGGACGUGCGCGUCCAUGAUCCCACGGAUUGCAACUGGAAGUAUCUGCAUCAUCAGCACGUUACAGUCGUGAGACUUCAUCCUGCUGAACUUCUACUUCGCUGAGUCUAGGUAUCUGCUUAUCUUCCCCGCGUAACCGUAAGGAAGUUUUACUCCUACGAGGCAGGUGAAAAACUGAUUGAUCUCCUCCUGACUUAGAGUGAAGCAUGCGGGAGGGAAGUCAUUUCCGGUCUUCUUGGCCUUUUUGCCUUUGCGACGACUUUCCGUGUCCUGCUUCGCCUCAUCAUCAUCAUCAUUAGCGUGAAGCUCCUCCCUGAUGCCCAUUGAUUUCAAGUCUGCCCUUGCUUUCGGCCCAUCUUUGGUCCUCUCUGGCAUGAGCAGGGUACCAAGCAGACUCUUACACACGUUCUUCGUGAUAUGCAUGACAUCAAGGCUGUGAGGCACACGGUGGAUCUUCCAGUACAGCAAGUCCCAGAAAACAGACCUCGUUUUCCAUACCUUCAGCAGCGGCUCUGGUGCCUUUCGCUUCUUUCCCAGCUCUGGCGCCUUUUGCUUCUUUCCCAGCAGUGGGCAAUCUUUCCAAUUUUUCAAUAGCUCGUCUAUUUCCUUGCCACUCCUCGUACGCGGGCGUCUUCGGGGUUCGGUUUCACCAUCGAACAUAUCCUUGCGUUUCCUCCAUGAGUCAUCAUCGCAAAGCCACCUUCGAUGUCCCAUGAACACGGUUUUUGAAGACCCGGGAUUUCUAUCUAGCUGGCGAUACGUUGUGUCAUCCAUGCACCUGACGCAUCCAGAAAAUCCGUGGACCACCUUCCCCGCGACAUAUCCGUAACCGAGAUAGUCCUGCACCGUCGUGAGCAGUGCGACUCUCAUAGGGAAAUAUUCUUUCUCUGCGGCGUCCCACAUAUUGGCUGGCGUUUUCCAUAGCGUGUCUAGCUCCUCUUUCAGCAGCCCCAUAUACAGAUUGAUGCCAUUCCCUGGUUGUUUCGGCCCUUCAAUUAGCAUACUCAUGUGAAUGUACUUCCUCUUCAUGCACAACCAGGGGGGAAGGUUGUAUAUCCACACAAACACAGGCCAGGUGCUAUGUGUGCUUCUCUGGCUGCCAAACGGAUUGACUCCAUCGGUGAUCGCGCCCAGUAUGAUGUUCCUUGGAUCGUUCCCAAAUUCUGGGUGUUCGAAGUUCAACGCUUGCCGCUGGCUCGCAUCCUUAGGGUGACUCAGCAUCUUGUCUUUUUUAUUUAUCUCUGGAUCAUUUGCGUCAUCUUCUCACUUCUUCUCCUCCCUAUCCGCGUGCCAACGCAGGAGCUUUGCUACCUUAGGGUCCGCGAAAUACCGCUGCAGACGAGGAGUGAUCGGAAAGUACCACACCACUUUUCAAGGAGCUUUCUUCCUCUUCUUGUAUCGAGUGACGCCGCACACCGGUCAUAUGGUAGACUCUGCGUGCUCAUCCCGAUAAAUGAUGCAAUUGUUCAUGCACACAUGGUAUUUCACGUGUGGUAAAUCCAGAGGACACACGAUUUUCUUCGCCUCCUCGAAACUGGUCGGGCACUUGUUCCCCUUGGGAAGACGUUCGUGCCAGAAUGACAUGUUCUCGUUGAAGCAUGCGUCGGUCAUUUUGUGUUUUACCUUCAUCUCCAGAGCCAUGAGCAUUACUUUCAGGCAGGUAUCCUCGGGCCUGCAUCCUUCAUCCAAUGGAGUAACCACGUCUAUCUCCAGUUGAUCCAUCUUGGCUUUCUCUCGGGCGGCAGCUCUUGCGUUAUCGGUCUACUUGAGAAGCAGCUCUUGAAUAUGAGGGUCCUGCACCCAGCCCAUCGAUGGGCCAUCGUCGUCUGCUCCGACAUCUUCAUCUUCAUGAUCAUGCCCUUUGUCUACUCUAGCAUCUUCCUCAUCAUCAUGUACGGCAUCUUCUACAUGAUGACUGUGUACUGCAUCUACUUCAUGAUCAUGUCCUGGAGAUUCUUCGUCUUCUCGCCCGCCCUCGUCGCAGUUGUCUUGCUGCCCUUCCUCAUUUCUUGCCCGGCCCCCAUGGACGACUUCAUAAUCAUCUUCAUCACCUUGCCACCGAUAGCCAUCCAUGAAACCACGCAAGAGCAGGUGGUCCCACACCUGUACAGAAUCCGGGUCCAUAAGGCUCCUUAGCUUGCAUCUUCGACACGGACAUCUUAUCUCCGUCUCGUUCUUUUGAAGCAUCUCGGUCUUCGUGGAGCUCAAAAACCUAUUCACGAUGCCUUCGGUCAUCGUGUGGACCAUGGUCGCCUGCGGGGUAGAGCAAAACGAUAUUUUAGAACCAAGAAAUUUUUUGGCAUGACUUUGCCUAAAAAUAGGACCAAAAAGAAUGCAUAGUGCCAAAUUCUCGCCGAAACGGAAAUGAACAUUCCGGCAAAAUAUUGGCAACUAUCGCAUUUCAAAUACUGGUACCUGCAAACACAAACAUAUAUGCAACACCACAAAUAUAUGCAACACCACAAAUAUAUGCAACACCACAAACAUACAUAGAUCUAGCUAGGCCAUAAAAAGUGCAUGUGCACGUUGUUGGAGGGAGGAAAAAAAGUAGAUCUACAACAUAAAGAAAGCUUUCCCCUUACUUACCUAUCAAAAAAAGGUAAUUUAACCACUUAAUUUGGAUGAAUCUAUGGUGCAAAUGAGGUGAGGAGGAGGAGGCAGCCGAGACAAGCUUGGAGGAGGUGGUGGAGAGAAUGAAGUGGGGAAAGUGAGUGUGUAGGUGGCUGUCCAAAAUAUCUACCUGGUCCCAGGUUACUAAUGGUGCACCACCUACAAAUGCACCAUUAGUAACCCUGGUUACUAAUGGCGCACUAGCUGAUGGUGCGCCAUUAGUAGUUUUGCAAAAAAAAUGAUAGUAGUGGCGCACGGGGUGAGUGGUGCGCCAUUACUAGUUAAAACUAGUAAUGGCGCACUGUGCCCUGGUGCGCCAUUAGUAUUUUUGGAAAAUAAUAAUAAUAAAUUGUUAGUAGUGGCGCACCGUGGGUGUGGUGCGCCAUUAGUGUCCAUCACAUUAAUGGCGCACCAACACAUGGUGCGCCACUGCUAUAUAGUAGUGGCGCACCACAUGACUGGUGCGCCAUUAGUGUCCAUAUUAUCUAUAGCCCUUUUCCUAGUAGUGAGUAUUCAACCCAAUUUAUUGAUUUGACACAAGGGAAUCCAAAGAAUAUUUGCAAGUAUUAGCAGACGAGUUGUCAAUUCAACCACAUCCAAAGAUUUAUUAUCUGCAACAAUAUGAUCAGUAGCAAAGCAAUAUGAUAGUUUUGAUAGUAGUAGCAAUAGCAAUAGUGAUGAUAACAAUGAUAGCGAUUUUGUAGCAAGUAUAACGGUAACAACAACAGUAGUAACUUAGCAAGAACAAUAUAAGAGAAAUUUGUAGGCAUUGGAUCAGUGAAUUCGUUGGAUGAUAUUCAUCAUAUAACAGUCAUAACCUAGGGUGAUACGACAGUAGCUCCCGUUCAUAAAUAUAAUGUAGGCAUGUAUUUCGUAAAUUGUCAUACAUGCUUACGGAAAGAACUUGCAUGACAUCAUUUGUCCUACCCUCACGUGGCAGCGGGGUCCUAUUGGAAACUAAGGGAUAUUAAGGCCUCCUUUUAGUAGAGAAUUGGAACAAAGCAUUAAUACAUAGUUAAUACAUGAACUCCUCAAACUACGGUCAUCACCGGAAAGUAUCCCGACUACUGUCACUCUGGGGUUUACGGAUCAACACGUAAUAGGUGAAUAUAACUUGCAAGAUCGGAUCUAGAACAUAGAUAUAAUGGUGAUAACAUAAACAAUUCAGAUCUGAAAUCAUGACACCCGGGCCCAAAGUGACCAGCAUUAAGUAUGGCAAAGUCAUGUCAACAUCAAUCUCAGAACAUAGUGGAUACUAGGGAUCAAGCCUUAACAAAACUAACUCGAUUACAUGAUGGAUCUCAUCCAACUCCUCACCGACCAGCGAGUCUACGAAGGAAUUACUCACUCCCGGUGGGGAGCAUCAUGGAAUUGGCGAUGGAGAAGGGUUGGUGAUGACGAAGAUCGCAAGAUCCCCCUCUCCAGAGCCCCAAAUGGACUCCAGAUCUGGCCUGCUGAUGAAGAAUAGGAGGUGGCGGCGGCUCCGUCUUGUGAAACGCUAUAAUACUUUCUCCCAGAUUUUUUUCUCUGAAAAUAUGAUUUUAUAGUAUCAGGGUUGAGGUCUGCAGGGCCACCAGGUGGGGAAAACCCACCUGGGCGCGCCAGGAGGAGGGGCACUGGUGGGUUGUGCUCACCCUAGGGCCCCCCUCCGGUGGUUCUUGGCUCCAGUAUUUUUAUAUAUUCUGAAAUAAUUCUUCAAAAAGUUUCAUUCCAAUCUAAGAUUUUUUAUUUCUGCACAAAAACAACACCAUGGUAAUUCUAUUGAAAACAAUGUCAGUCCGGGUUAGUUUCAUUCAAAUCAUGCAAAUUAGAGUCCAAAACAAGAGUAAAAUUGUUAGAAAAAGUAGAUACGAUGGAGAUGUAUCAGACCGCCUUUCUUGAUUGCGUUGGCUGAAUGAAGACUAGUUGAUUGCUCCCCCAUACUCCAUAAUGGGUGAGCCACUCUUCGGCACAUCUUCAUAACUCCAUUGUCACCAUAAUGGAUGGCAAGAAACAAGCAUGAGAUCUCUUCGUGAUGCUCCACUUGAACUUGCACACCGCAAUCUUGAUGAUGAUCACCACUUGAUGUCAUCCUCCAUGGGUUAUAUAAUAUCUUCCUUUUGAUGCACGACCAUGGAAACAUACCGAAGCCCACAAACAACUCGUAGACCAUGGGUUAGUACACAAAAACUAAUGGACAAUGCUAAUUAUACCAUGGGAUCACUUGAUCCCUCUCGGUACAUGUUGUAUGCUUUGUGUGUUGAUCAACUUGAUUCACUCUUUGACUUGGUCUUGAUCAACCUUGUAUCAUGUCUUCUACAUGACCAAUCUUUGGAUAAUUCCUUGAAUAGCACAUUGAUCAUCACAUAAACUCCUUGAAACGAACACAUGGACUUUAAGAAAUGCUUAUGGGCAAAUCCUUCAAAUAUAGCUCAAGGCAACCAUUAGUCCAUAGAGAAUGUCAUCAAUUACCAAAACCACACAUGGGGGCACCAUGCUCUUUCAAUGUUGAUUUCAAGAUGACACCAAAUACACCUAGUCUUCGCAACAACACAAUUCAAGAGCUACCUACUGUGAGGAUGCAUGCACCAAUAUUCUUUUUUAAAACAAGAUAUAACCUCACCAAAGCAGUCAAUGAACAAGAAAACAUCAACAUCAAUCACCAACAUUGGCAACCCCUGAGAAACAUUCUCCAGCAAUGAUGUCUCUAGGAAGGGAAGGAGCAGUGCACAAUUACCGUCACAGUACAAGUAAUGAAGCUACACGUUAAGUUUAUUGCCAUCAUAAUACACACUUCAGCUUUUUGGUGAACUAUCCAUGCAAAGCACCAUCUCAUUCGCCAAAAGCUCCAGCUGAAAGAGAGGGCAAAUCAUUAUACUCUAACAAUCUUCUUCUAUCUAUGCUCCAUUGAAAUUACAGUGUGGGUAUUGGAAGCUAUGUUUUGCGAUUCGAAAGCAAAAUAAUAAUAAUCUAGACCUUAUAGAAAAAUAAGCAGUAAUUGCAAAAUGUUGAUACGGAGGACUAAAUCCCAGAUAGAGAUGUUUGAAAAUUUCAAGUCCCAGUCCCAUUUUUGUCAAGUAGUAACCGCAACACCUUCUAUGCUUUACUUCCUACCUACCACCUCACCGAAAGAAUCAAUUUCUGUCAUUUUACUAAGAAACACAAAACUGUGAAUAUAAUAGGGAGGGCUACACUUAUUUGUCUAGUUAUUUCUUUAUUGUAAACUAUAUGCAUCCAACCAAUUCACGCAUUAGUUCAAUGAUUUUAUCUCAAGUAAACCAUAAUGAUGAAAUAUGUCAUAGUUGAACUAUUAGGUUUUGUGACAAAUGGCAUAACGGACUUCCUUUGGAAAUCCUUUCUCUCAACUAAGCAAGUUUAUGGGGCUUCUACGCGAGGUACAACUCCCACAAACAAACUAGGUUACAAUGUGUUCAACCGCCUUUCUAGAAACCAUUGAAGCACCAAAUACAAGAUUAUAUGUUCACUAGGGAGAUACUGCAUUCAGUUCGUCAGGGUUUGUAUAGCAUUCCUAGGUGAAUGGUUUGACUCAUACCUGACAUGCACCGCGUAUUGAAACCUUGAGACAUAAUGUCGAAAAACACAAAUUGAUAGCUAACUAUAUUAGAUCUAGAAACAUCGACCCUCAUUUUUUUAAUCAUAAAGUGAUUUUACAAACCCCCGACAUGUUGUGUUUGGCGUGUACACGUAAUAGAUUAAUGGGCCUAGCAAAAAAACAAGACAAAUGCUAGGGAUGUAUGCCUCUGUUUUUUUAUUUACCCCGCAUAUUAGUUUAACUGAAGUCAAAUGUUAUAAAGUUUGACCAAGUUUGUAGGAAACAAUAGGAACAUUUAACAUAAAAAACCUAUGUCCUGUGAAAAUAUAUUCAAUGAUGAAUCUAAUGGUAUUGAUUUGUGGUGUAUAUGUUACUAUAUUUUUGUACCACUGUCGGUGUUAAAACCGGCGGAUCUCGGGUAGGGGGUCCCGAACUGUGCGUCUAGGCGGAUGGUAACAGGAGACGAGGGACACGAUGUUUUACCCAGGUUCGGGCCCUCUUGAUGGAGGUAAAACACUACGUCCUGCUUGAUUAAUAUUGAUGAUGUGUGCUACAAGAGUAGAUCUACCACGAGAUCAAGGAGGCUAAACCCUAGAAGCUAGCCUAUGGUAUGAUUGUUGUUCGUCCUACGGACUAAAGCCAUCCGGUUUAUAUAGACACCGGAGAGGGUGUUACACAGAGUCGGUUACAAUGGUAGGAGAUCUACAUAUCCGUAUCGCCAAGCUUGCCUUCCACGCCAAGAAAAGUCUCAUCCGGACACGGGACGAAGUCUUCAAUCUUGUAUCUUCAUAGUCUUGGAGUCCGGCCGAUGAUGAUAGUUCGGCUAUCCGGACACCCCCUAGUCCAGGACUCCCUCAGUAGCCCCUGAACCAGGCUUCAAUGACGAUGAGUCCGGCGCGCAUAUUGGCUUCGGCAUUGCAAGGCGGGUUCCUCCUCCGAAUAAUUUAUAGAAGAUUGUGAACACCAGGAUAGUGUCCGGCUCUGCAAAAAUAAUUUGCACAUACCACCAUAGAGAGAAUAAUAUUUCCACAAGUUCAAUCUGCUGACGUAUUUGAUGGCAUGACGUCACACCGCUACCAAGCCUUUACUUAAAUCGUUUUUAUUGUACCACCUCAGCGCGUUUAGCGAAGCGGUUUCCUUGGCACGUCUUGUCGAAGCAGAGAUCAUGUUCCCCUUAUUCCGGGAUUCCCAUCAAUACGGACGUGGGUAACCCAACCGCGCCAUUGAUUGCGGCGCUUGGGGGAUAAGCGAGUUUUAUCAGGCCGGUGGGGACGCAUGUUUUCGUCCGCCCAUAUAAGGGGAUAAAGAUCCAACCCUAUUACCUGCGCCUUCUUCCUCCUUGGCUUACCCAUCUCUGCGAACCCGAGCUCCAGCGCCCAAGCGCGCACAUCUCACCUCAACCUUCUCCAACUAUGUCCGGAGCAGGAGGCAAGUGGAUGGCCUCCUCCAUCACGGAGGGGCAGAUCUAGAAGCUGCGCAACGCCGGAUACUUGUCCAGCGACAUCGCGCACCGGCUCCCCAAUGAGGGAGAGCUCAUCCCCACCCCCAAGCCCCAUGAGAGGGUAGUAUUCCUUCCCCAUUUCCUCCGCGGACUGGGCUUCCCACUCCAUCCCUUUGUCUGGGGGCUCAUGUUCUACUACGGCCUGGAUUUCCAUGAUUUGGCCCCGAAUUUCAUCCUCAACAUCUCGGUGUUUAUCGUUGUGUGUGAGGCCUUCCUCUGCAUCCAGCCCCACUUCGGCUUGUGGCUCAAGACCUUCAGUGUCAAGCCGAAGGUUGUGAAGGGCAGCCAAGCGGAGUGCGGAGGCGCCAUGGUGGGCAGGAUGUCCCAUGUUACUUAGCUCGAGGGAACUUUCGUGGAAACCAUCAAGGGGUGGCAAUCGGGGUGGUUCUACAUCACCGAGCCGCGUGAUCCCGAAUGGGCAGCGGUCCCCGAAUUCAGAUCCGGCAUCCCCACACGGCUCACCUCCUGGAAAGAGAGCGGCCGGACAUGGGGUGAUUCGGAGGAGCUGACAGGACUCCAAGCUUGUAUCCAAAAGCUAGUGGACAAGAAGCUCAAGCUUGUCAACGUAGUCCAGGUCAUGCUCAUCUGCCAGAUUCUCCCGUGCCAACGACGGGGCUUCAACAUGUGGGAGUUCGAUCCGGCACAGCACCAGACUUUGAAUGGGCUCUUCGACACUACAUACGAAGAUGUCUCGAAGGUGCUAUUCAAGGGCGCCGAAGCUCCCGCAUCCGCUACCGAAGAUCGCGGAUUCAGCUCAGAGCGUCCAGCUGAUGAGGUAAGUUAUUUUGUCCUUUAAGGGACGCUUGUUUUCCAUAGUUUGACUCUAUGCGGGAUCUAAACUCCCUUUCCUUUGACAGGACUAGAUGAAGAAGGCCGAACAGGCUAUCUGUCCGGCCCCAUUGCCAGAGGACCCAGCGGAUGCCCGUUUGACGGGGCUGCUAGCUUCGGCACCCCAUGUGGUGCCGGAGAAGAAGGCCAAGAAGAAGGUCACAGGGACUCGGAAGAGUUCCCGCUUUCAGGUGCUAUCGGAUGACGACUCCGAGGCCGACUCCUCUCACCAAGGUGAGGAGGAGAAGAAGAAAGCCUCUUCCCCAGCGGGGGGAGAGAAGAAAAAGAAGGCCUCCCCAACGAGGGAGGCCGAGGGGUCCAAGAAGGGAAAAACUCUUCCCCCGGACUGCUCUGCCAAUGCCAGUGAUGACGACGAGGACUGGCCUCCAAGGGCCAAGCCCUAGGCGAGAUCGUGAGUAUCCGGACUCCCGAAUAACUUCAUGGUUUAUCUUUUUUGCCACACAAUGUCUUUCUAAUGCCGCAUACAACCCUGCAGUCCGCCCAAGGACGAUCUUCCCGCUUCGUCGAGCGGGUCCUUAGGUGCGUCGGAUAUGGAUUCUCUUCCGACCGCCUCCACCCCCCGUGACACGGACGAUGCCAAGGUGGGAUCCCGGGAAGGGACCCGCCAGGAGGAGGAGGCCCCGGAGGUGUCGCAGGACAACCUCCCGGACUUUGCACCGGACUCGGCUCCGGAUCCCAUAGUGGCUCCGGAGUUCGGCGGGCGGCCCCUUCGUAAGAAGGGCAAGACCGUGACACCGGCAGCCUCCGUCCAACCGAAGGCGCCGGAUAGCUUGCUGGAGGCGCUCAAUGGCGCCUCCAUCAAAGAGGAACACCGCACUGUUAUGAGUGCGGUGAUUUAGAAGGUGCAGCUCGCCAAGAGCGGGCUGACCGAAGCCUGCAACAGCCUUCUAACAGGCUUUGAGGUAAGAAUUUUGAUAUAUGUAAAAUAGUACCGCAUAGACAGUAGCCCCUGAUGCUCGGUUCGGUGUUCGGAAAGAAAAGCCGGACUGAGGAUCUAAGAAGAUAUACGCAGGAGUCAUAAAAAAUAUGUCGAUAUGGGAUUGCAGGCUGCGCUGCUGACCUCUGCCGCACUGACUGCGGAGGUCAAUACUUUGAAGGAAGGCCUCGAGAGGUCCGAGAAUGAGCUCGGCCGUGCCAAGAAGCAGCUCGAGGACAAGGAAGGUGAGUAACACCUUAUUAAAAUUGUACCUUACAGAAAAGGAUUUUGGUUGCAAAAUGAAGGACAAGGAUAACAUGGGUAUUGCAGGGGCCACUAACGAGGUGGCGACCCUGAAAGAGGCGGUGGCUGCGACCGAACACAAUGCGGCCGCGGAGCGCACCGAGCGAGAGAAGCGGGAGGCACGGGUGGCGGAGGUACAGCAAGAGCUCCAGGAUCUCGUGAAAAAACAUGAGAGCCUGGAGCGUGACUCGACGACUCGAGAGUCUGAGCUUGCAACGGCUCUUAAGAGUGCCAAAGCCGCUAAGGCCGAAGCCUACAAGGCCCUCCAGGAAAUCGAGGCGUUGAAGAAAAUAGCAGCGGGUAAGGCAUUUUUCAUGCAAAGUAAGCAUGUGAGUGUUAAUUACCUGUUGCUUACCCGAAUUCGGAGCUCUCCAGGAGCGUUCGCAGAUCUUCCUCGCAGCGUGUCCGAUGCUGCCGCGUUCUACCGGGCCGAGGAGGGGAGCUCGACGGAGAAGGUCUUCUGGUCUCAGUAUGCUGAGGCCGGACAUCCGGUGCCCCUUAGCGACCAGCUAAAGCAGCUGGUCGAGCUCUACAAGGUGGCCGAACAGGCCAUGAAGGGCCUCAUAGUUCGGCUGUGGCCUAAGGAGGCCAUGCCUGGGAGCUACUUCGGCCUGGUGCGGCGGCUGGUGGAUGCGUGCCCGUGGGUCGAAGUCAUCAAGCACUCCGUCUGUAUUGAAGGUGCCCGUCGGGCCCUUGCCCGCUCAAAGGUGCACUGGGGCAAGAUGGAUGCCUAGAAGCUCGUGACGGACCCACCACCGGAGCGCAAGGAGCAUCGCACGCCCGAGAUGUAUUAUAAGAGUGUGCUGAAGGGCGCCCGCACUAUUGCGGGUGAGUGCUCCAAAGAUGUAAUAUUUGAGUAGACUCGCAUUUUGUUAUCCUGUGCGCUGAAAACUUAGUUCAUUUGCGCUAAGCAACGUGUUUUGAUUUAAAAUAUUACCUUCUGUGCGGCUGUUUAUCAAAUCUGAGAGAUGGCAAGUCGUCGGCUUCAGCCCCCAUGCCACGAGUGCUGGGGUGUUCGGGAUAAACUUGAGCACUCUUGUUCCCAUAUUUGGGUCCAUCUAGGGAGGCGCUCAACACAACGAACAAGGCAACCGGACUUAUAAUGCUUGAACACUCUCACUUAGCCAUAAAAUUCUAUAAUUUUAAAUUUCGGCGAAGCCCCUAAUCUUCGGAAGGCCGAAUUUGGGGCGCUAUCCAUGCCUUGGCCGGACAAAAACCGGCUCCUCGCUCUAAGCGGCAUAAGUCUUUAGGGACUCACAAAAAACCUCUCGAACAGCGACCAGCUCUCACCUCAUCAUGACGGUCAGUUUUAGCUUUCUCCACUGAGGCGUUAACCCAGCUCAACUGGGGCGCAAUCGCAGUGGUUCUCCCAGUGCUACCUUAGCCGAUACAACGGAACAUAAGGUACCAAAACAUGGGAGCCGGGCAAACCCAACUAUUGACCCAAGACAUGAUUCGGAGCUGAUGCAUAUAUUGCUAUAAGUUCGGGGUGCCGCACUUGUGAAAGUGUUCGGACUUAUCACACCAUGAUGCGGGAAACAUAAGCCCCUGGUGUAUUUAGCCAUACCAGAACGUACGGAUGCGUAAUGUCACAAAUGAACAUAUGUAUAAAAAAGAAAUGCAAUUGCAAGCAAAAAAAGGUGCUGCAUUACUUAUUAAAGAAAAAUUGUUGUAAGUGCAGAACGAUACAAAUGGUGCGAUAAGCAAGGGAUGGGACUGUUAAACAUGUCCCCCUCCAGGGGUAGGCUGCGGAAUGGUGCAUAAAACAGAUUUAAUGCUCGUAAUGGAGACCACCUGGAUAGUCGUUGUAGCCUUUCUUCUUCCCUAGCUAUUGCAUCGUGAGUUCGGCAGGUCUACUACCGGACAGGGCCUCUGACGAACGGAGUCCUGUGGGUAAAAAUAAAAAAAAGGAAAAAGAAAAAAAAGAACGACACACUUGAGAGCCCCUGGUGUGGUUGAGCCGCAGUCUGGGCCUAUCGUGGUCGUGCCCCUCUCCCCAUGCCCAUGGUAUCUUCAGAGCGUAAUGGUGUACGCGAAGGACCUGUCUUGAUGUUUUACAGGGGCUGGGGUUGGGGCCGCACUGCUACGCAUGCUCGACACGUGCCAGGUGGUCUUGUUGUAAGUUACUCCGGGCGCGCUUAGCUGUGUACGGCCGCUUAAUGGCCGAACUCGAGAAUUGCCUUAAGAGGCUGCAUUGUACUUCUGCCGCGAGAGCCGUUGUAUGUUCCUCCGUGCGGAGAGAACGUUCAGUGUUUCCGUUGACCGUGAUGACUUCUCGAGGGCCUGGCAUCUUGAGCUUGAGGUAUGCGUAGUGCGGCACCGCGUUGAACUUUGCGAAUGCGGUACGUUCGAGCAGAGCAUGAUAGCCGCUGCGGAACGGAACUAUGUCGAAGAUUAAUUCCUCGCUCCGAAAGUUAUCCGGGGAUCCGAAGACCACUUCUAGUGUAACUGAGCCUGUGUAAUUGGCUUCUACACCUGGUAUGACGCCUUUAAAGGUCAUCUUGGUAGGUUUAAUCCUUGAGGGGUCUAUGCCCAUUUUGCACACUGUGUCCUGAUAAAGCAGGUUCAGGCUGCUGCCGCCGUCCAUCAGGACUCUGGUGAGGUGAAAUUCAUCGACGAUUGGGUCUAGAACCAAUGCGGCGAAUCCGCCAUGGCGGAUGCUGGUGGGGUGGUCCCUCCGGUCAAAAGUGAUCGGGCAGGAGGACCAUGGAUUGAACUUCGGGGCAACUGGCUCCAUCGCAUAUACAUCCCUGAGUGCACGCUUCCGCUCCCUUUUGGGUAUGUGCGUUGUGUAUAUCAUGUUCAUCGUCCGCACCUGUGGGGGGAAACCCUUCUGUCCUCUAUUGUUCGGCGGCCGGGUCUCUUCCUCGUCAUCGUUGUGCAGCCCCUUGUCAUUGUUUUCGGCAAUUAACUUGCCUGCCUAUUUGAAUACCCAACAGUCCCUGUUGGUGUGGUUGGCUGGCUUUUCCGAGGUGCCAUGUAUUUGGCACAAGCGGUCGAGUAUUCGGUCCAAAUUGGACGGACCCGGAGUAGUUCUUUUAAAUGGCUUUUUCCGCUGACCGGGUUUAGAGCCUCUGAAUCCGGCAUUGACUGUUGUAUCUUCACUGUUAUCGCCGUUAAUGCGGCGUUUGUUUUUGUUGCGAUGCGACCUGCCACUACGGUCCUUGAAAUCCGGACUGCCAGAAUUUUUGCUGAGGUUAUUGCUGCGUGCUAGCCAGCUGUCCUCACCCGUGCAGAAGCGGGUCAUGAGUGAUGUGAGGGCUGCCAUUGAUUUCGACUUUUCCUGUCCUAGGUGCCGGGCCAGCCACUCGUCGCGGAUGUUGUGCUUGAAGGCUGCUAGGGCCUUUGCAUCCGGACAGUCGACGAUUUGGUUUUUCUUUGUUAGGAACCGUGUCCAGAAUUGUCUGGCCGAUUCGUCUGGCUGCUGAAUUAUGUGGCUUAGAUCGUCGGCGUCUGGUGGUCGCACGUACGUGCCUGGAAGUUAUCGAGGAAUGCGGCUUCCAGGUCUUCCCAACUCCCGAUUGACUCUGCUGGCAAGCUGUUAAGCCAAUGUCGGGCUGGUCCUUUAAAUUCGAGUGGGAGAUAUUUGAUGGCGUGAAGAUCAUCACCGCGGGCCAUGUGGAUAUGGAGGAGAUAGUCUUCGAUCCAAACCGCGGGGUCUGUUGUGCCAUCGUAGGAUUCAAUGUUCACGGGUUUAAACCCUUCAGGGAUUUGAUGAUCCAUUACUUCGUCUAUGAAGCAUAGUGGGUGUGUGGCGCCUCUGUACUGGGCGAUAUCGCGACGAAGCUCAAAAGAGCUUUGUCUAUUUUGUUCGGCCCGGCCGGACUUACUGUGUCCGGCACGACGGUUGUCGCCACGUAUCAUGGGGCGCCCACGCGAUCCAUAGAUCGAUCUUGAUUGUCUUGCCUUACCCUCCAAUAUAUCUCGCAAGUCCGGAGCGUUCCCCUGUGGCUUUGUGCUCUUCGAGCGAUGCCGGGGUACGGUUCUAGUGAAGGGCCUAGAAGCCUCUCUGUCACGACCACGGGGUGGUCGGUCAGCCGUAUUGUCUGCUAGUGAUGUAGGUUCGUAUGCCUCCUCCUCUAAUCGGGGGAGCAGCUUGCGUUUAGGGUAACUUUUGGAGGGGCGUUCGAGCUCAUGCUCUUCGGCCGCGAGGACUUCAGUCCAUCUGUCGGCUAGCAGAUCUUGAUCAACUCUAAGCUGUUGGUGCUUUUUAUUUAGGCUGUUUGCCAUGGCCAUAAGCCUGCAUUUAAAACGCUCUUGUUCGACGGGAUCCUCAGGCACGACGAAUUCGUCGUCGUCGAGGCUUGCCUCGUCUCCGGAGGGAGGCAUGUAGUCCUCUACCUCUUCUUCUGCCGCUCUCUCAUGAGGGCUGGCGUCCCCAUCCUCCCGUGCUGAAUUUUGCUAGAGUGGGUUGUCUUCGGCACUAUCUGGGGUGUUAUUAUCUCUGGUGCCGGAAUCUUCAUUCUUGCUAUGGCAGGAUUAGAGCGGCGCCGCUGACGCCGACGCUUGGGCUGUUUCUUGGAGGGGUCAUCCUCCGCUGCCCCUUCGCCAUUCCCAUCCUUUGGGAUAUCCACCAUGUAUAUAUCAUAUGAUGAGGUGGCUUUCCAGUGCCCGAUAGGCGCUGGUUCUUGGUCAUCUCCGGCAUCGUCGUCCAUACCGUCGAUGUCUUCGGAGUCGUAGUCUAGCAUGUCGGUUAGGUCAUCAACAGUGGCUACCAAGUGGGUGGUGGGUGGGUUUUGAAUUUCUUCAUCGUCCGCAUCCCAACCGUCCUGGCCGCAGUCCGGCCAGGGCUCUCCUGAUAAUGAGAGAUACUUUAGCAAACUCAGGAUGUCGCCAAAAGGUGAGUGUUGAAAGAUGUCCGAGGCAGUAAACUCCAUGAUCGGCGCCCAACCGGAUUCGAUUGGUGGGGGCGCGGGAGGUUCGUAGUCCGGCAAGGAGUCCGGCGCCUUGGAGUCACGAGCUUCAUGAGGGACAAGGUCAGUGUUCGGCUCUAUCACCAUAGAGGUUGCAGCCCCCGAGGCGGCGUCUAACCAUCCAUCCUCGAUCUGCGCAGCCGGCUCUGAAUUGAAGAUCGGAGCAGGCUCAAGUGCGGCCUCCAGGGUACUGUCCGGUCGCAGAGCUAAAUCAUGCUCGUCGUGACAGUGCGGCACGCUCGGCUGUGGCUCGAAUCCAUCGAGGAUCAAGUCCCCACGGAUGUCAGCCGUGAAGUUCAAACUUCCAAAUCUGACCUGACGGCCAGGGGCGUAACUUUCGAUCUGCUCUAGAUGGCCAAGAGAAUUGUCCCGCAGUGCAAAGCCGCCGAAUACGAAGAUCUGUCUGGGGAGGAAGGUCUCACCCUGGACUGCGUCGUUGAUGAUGAUCGGAGAAGCCAUUGAGCCUAUCGGCGACUGCACAGAGGAACUCUCAAUGAAAGCACCAAUGUCGGUGUCAAAACCGGCGGAUCUCGGGUAGGGGGUCCCGAACUGUGUGUCUAGGCGGAUGGUAACAGGAGACGAGGGACACGAUGUUUUACCAAAGUUUGGGCCCUCUUGAUGGAGGUAAAACCCUACGUCCUGCUUGAUUAAUAUUGAUGAUGUGUGCUACAAGAGUAGAUCUACCACGAGAUCAAGGAGGCUAAACCCUAGAAGCUAGCCUAUGGUAUGAUUGUUGUUCGUCCUACGGACUAAAGCCAUCUGGUUUAUAUAGAUACCGGAGAAGGCUAGGGUUACACAGUGUCAGUUACAAUGGUAGGAGAUCUACAUAUCCGUAUCGCCAAGCUUGCCUUCCACGCUAAGGAAAGUCCCAUCCGGACACGGGACGAAGUCUUCAAUCUUGUAUCUUCAUAGUCUUGGAGUCCGGGCGAUGAUGAUAGUUCGGCUAUCCGGACACCCCCUAGUCCAGGACUCCCUCAACCACCUUGGUGAAAGAAUAUAAAGUUUAAUUUUACACAAAGCUAAUAUUUGAAGUAAAUAAAGAUGAAAUUGGGUGGGGGAGGGGGUGGGUUGACGACAAACCACGACAUUCUAGAGUGUCCUUUAAUUAAUGUUAUCUCGUUAAGUAAUACUUUGCCCCUAAGAUUCGUAGGAUUCCGAAGGCGUGGAUAUGAAAAAGUAGAUACAAGUACAAUGUGAUAUCCAACUGAAUCAUAAAAUAUUUGUGAAUUUUGAACCAAAGUUUGUUUGAUUGUACUCCCUUCGUUUCAUAUCAGUUGUCAAGUGGUUUGAGUCAAUGCAAAUUUCUUAUAUAAUGCAAGCACAAUGCAAAUAACUACCAUCGCAAACAAUUAUAUGAAAAUCCACUGAAUGAAAGAGGCCCAUCAACUUAGAAAUUCCUUGCAAUAUGUACUCAUAUAAGGCCUUCCUCCUAUGCCCUUGCCCAGGCAGGGGGCUGGAGCAGCAGCGGCCCCGUCCGCCCCGCGAUCCUUGGCUUCUCAAGCCGAGUCGGUCAUGCCGUGUCCAACAUGGAUGGUUCAAAGAGGAGUUCUGGGGGACCACGCACAGGAGGGCUAGGGCUUCCUGGCCCAUGCCGCAAGAUACAGUAGACUUCUGUGUACUUCAAGACGUCAGGGGCAUCGGUGGAACAUCAUCGGAAACCACGAAAGCCGCCAGAUCGAGCCAACCUCCCUACCGUGAAGCCUUUGUCCGAGCGCCCGCCCGACGAGAGGGCAUCGCCUGUUCUCGAAGGAAAAGUGCCGCCAGCGCUUGAGGAGAACCUGGUGGUUGGUGGGGGCGAUUAUGGGGCUCCCUCCGAGGAUGCUACCCGCCUGAAGCCUUCCAUCGGGGGAGCCGAAGAUGUUGUGGCGACGAACCCGUGGGUGCAGACGCUCUUCAUAUGCAAAGCCGGUACACCAAACAAGUGUCAGACUAUGGAGUCUCUGGAGGGGCAGCAGACUCGUGUGGAAGGAGAUAUGCAUGACCAGGACAUGCUGGAGAGAACAAACACCAUGGAGGCAGUCGGCCCAGGGGCCGCUGAUGAACUGACGGGGCUCGUGGAGCCUCGUCAAGAGCAAUGAACAUCCUGAGCUGGAACUGCUGAGGAGGUGGGAACCCUCAGACAGUUUGGGAUCUCGUGAGUCUAGUACAGGCUCACUCCCCUAGUAUCGUUUUUCUUUGUGAAACUAGGUAGUCGAAAAAUGAAAUGAAGAGAUAUCGUGCUCGUUUAGGUCUUAGUGGUUUUGAUGCUUCUGAUAGCAUAGGCUUCAGUGGUGGUCUUGCUUUGUAUUGGCACGAGUCAUUGAGUCUGGAUGUAAAAACUAUUAAUGAAAGAUACAUCGAUGCGUACGUGACUGGUAUGGCAGGUGAGCCACCCUGGAGGCUUACUUGCGUCUACGGCGAACCCCGGACGGAGGACCGUCCUCGCAUGUGGUCUUCCCUUCGGGAACUUCAUCAACAAACCAACAUGUCGUGGACGAUGAUUGGUGAUUUUAACGAAGCCAUGUGGAGUUUUGAGCACUUCUCCGAAACACCACGGUCGGCAGGUCAGAUGAUUGCUUUCAUGAUGUUCUUGAAGUUUGCGGCUUGGGCGACCUUGGUUUUGCAGGCCUUCCAUAUACAUAUGAUAAUCGCCGAGGAGGGCGGGCGAACGUCAAGGUCCGCAUCGACAGGGAUGUGGCAAACAAUUCCUGGAGGGAUAUUUUCUCUCACGCCAAGGUGGAGCACCUUGUGGCGCCCAGCUCGGACCAUCUUCCCAUUUUGCUGCAGUGUGUGAUGGAGGAGCCCGUGCACACAGUCGGGAGAAAAUGUCGCCAAUAUGAGGUUAUGUGGGAGAUGGAUCAUACUCUCCCUGAGGUAAUUAUGAAUGCAUGGACUGAGUUGGGUUCAAUGCUUAAUCUCGGUGAUAUAGCUACUGGUUUGGGUAAUAUGAUGAAUAAGUUGCAGCAGUGGAGUCGUAAGAAGUUUGGUAAUGUAAUCAAGGAAAUUAAUAAAUCUCGCUCUCGUUUAGAGGAACUUAUGUCUAUGAAUGCAGACAGGAAGGAGAUUAGAGCGGCAAUAGACCGGAUGAACGAGCUCCUGUACAGGGAAGAAAUGCUUUGGAUGCAAAGAUCGUGUAUUGCUUGGCUGCGGGAAGGUGACCGGAAUACCCAGUUCUUUCAUCGAAAAGCGGUAUGGCGUGCACGGAAAAAUCGUAUAGAACUUCUUGUCGAUGAGGCAGGAGUGACCCACAAGGACCAUGCUUCUAUGGCGGCUAUGGCUACUGCAUAUUUUUCGAGUUUAUUUGCUGCUGAUACUACCCUGGCUCCAGAACCUGUUAUCGAUCUCAUUAAUACCCGUGUUACUGACCGCAUGAAUGAUGGCCUAUGCGCAGAUUUUUCAGACAAGGAGAUAGCCGAUGCACUGUUCCAGAUUGGGCCUCUGAAAGCCCAGGGACCGGAUGGAUUCCCCGCUUGUUUCUUCCAGCGGAAUUGGGCGGUCAUGAGGGAACAAGUUAUUGCUGGGGUAAAGGAAUUUUUUCGCACAGGUAUCAUGCCCGCGGGAGUGAACAACACAUCCAUUGUUCUUAUACCAAAGGUGGAUAACCCGGAGAGGUUAACAGAGUUCCGCCCCAUCAGCCUGUGCAACGUUAUUUAUAAGGUGGUGGCAAAAUGUCUGGUAAACCGGUUGAGGCCUAUUUUAGAUGACAUUAUUUCACCGGAGCAGAGCGCCUUUGUUCCUGGAUGGAUGAUUACUGAUAAUGCUUUAAUUUCUUUUGAGUGCAUUCACUUUAUUCAGCAGGAGAAAGACCCUGACAAGAGUUUCUGUGCGUAUAAGCUGGAUCUGUCUAAGGCAUAUGAUAGGGUGGAUUGGAUCUUCUUGGAGCGAAUGAUGCAAAAGAUGGGCUUCGCUUGCCAAUGGGUGGACUGGAUUAUGGCUUGCGUCACCUCGGUGAGAUACACAGUAAAAUUUAAUGGAACCCUCUUGGAUUCGUUCGCACCGUCACGUGGGCUUCGACAAGGUGAUCCCCUAUCCCCGUUUAUGUUUCUGUUGGUGGCUGGCGGGCUUUCUGCUUUGUUGAAAGAUGGAGAGGAGAAAGGUGCUUACACACCGCUGGAAAUCUGCCGAAGAGCUCCGGGUGUGUCACACUUGCUUUUUGCGGAUGAUACUUUGUUGUUCUUUAAAGCAGAGGAGGAACAAGCAAAAAAGGUUCAGGAAGUACUUAAUAUGUAUGAACGGGUUACUGGACAGUGUAGUAACCCAGAUAAGUGCAGUGCUCUCUUUGGUCCAUCAUGUGCCGUGGACAUACAGGAUAGUAUACGGGUUGUCCUUCACAUUGGUGUGAGCACCUUUGAGGAAAAAUACCUAGGACUUUCGACGCCAGAGGGUCGUAUAUCACGAGGUAAACUUCAGAAUUUGCAGUCACGGCUGAUGAAGAGGACCAUUGCUUGGGGUGACACUCUUUCUCUUGCUGCCAAGGAGAUUAUGAUUAAAGCAGUCGCACGGGCUAUCCCAACUUAUAUUAUGGGUGUUUUUAAACUGCCUAUGUCAGUGUGUGAUGAUCUGAACAGAACGGUGCGAAAUUUUUGGUGGGGAUCUUCAGAGGGCAAGAGGAAAACUCACUGGUUGGCAUGGCCAAAAAUUCUGGCGCACAAAUCCCAGGGCGGAUUGGGUUUCAAGACUUCCGGGUGUUCAACCAAGCUCUUCUCACGAGACAGGCAUGGUGCUUGCUAGCUAAGCCUGAUAGUUUAUGUGCGCAGGUGUUAAAGGCUCGGUAUUAUCCUGAUGGACGCCUUGAGGAUACAGUAUUUGCCGGAAAUGCUUCGCCUACUUGGCAGGCCAUCCAGCAUGGCCUCGAGCUCCUGAAGAAGGGCAUCAUCUGGCGUGUCGGGAAUGGACAGAGCAUCCGCAUCUGGCGGGACCGCUGGGUACCCCGGGAGCCUUCACGCCAUCCCAUUACACAGCAAGGCACCUGUCGGCUGAGAUGAGUGGCGGAUCUUCUGGAUGAUGCCGGCGCUUGGCAGAUGGACUUGCUACGCCGACACUUCCUCCCGGCGGACAUUGACGCGGUCACCAGUAUCCGCACCUCGCCCCACAUCACCGACGACAUUAUCGCAUGGGCGCCGGAGAAGAACGGUAUAUUCAUCGUUUGAUCCGCCUAUCACUUCGCCAUGGACGAGCGGGAACGUCCACUGGCUACCUCCACGAGCAGGGCACCAGAUGGUCGUCGCGCCAUCUGGAAGAUCAUAUGGGGGUGCCCUGCCCCCCCUAAGGUACGCGUGUUUGCAUGGAGAGUAGUGACCAACUCGUUGGCUACCUGGGCCAACAAAUUUUCUCGUCAUCUUGAGCUUACUGACAUAUGUCCUCUUUGUGGUGUGGAACGAGAGGACGGCUUCCAUGCAUUAUGCAGAUGCCCACUUGCUAGAGAGCUGUGGCGGAAUAUGGAGACGGACUGGCCAAUCCCAAAGCUCGAGGGAAUUUGCAAUAACGACCCAGAGUGGCUGUUUUCCCUCCUGGAACCACUAGACGGAACGGCACGCCUGGUCACCCUCAUGAUUAUGUGGCGAACCUGGUACGUGCGCAAUGAGAUUACUCAUGGAAAGAAGCCACCCCCAACAGAAGCAUCCCGCCGCUUCCCCAACGGGCACAUUAAUUCGCUUCUAUGCAUUCAUCACUACCCAAAUGGAGACGUGGAGAAAGGAAAGAUGAUCCUGCAUGUUACCCCACCGGCCACAACUUUAUGUACUGAGCAGAAGCAGGAGCUACGUUGGGCGCCGCCCGGCCCGAGCUGGACGAAGUUAAACACUGAUGGCAGUUAUGUCCCAGCUACAGGCGUUGCAGGAGGGGGCAUGGUCCUCCGCGAUGACAGAGGAGAGAUCAUCUUCAGUGCGUGUAGGGAGAUACGCACAUGUGAUAACAGCCUGCAUGCGGAACUUGCAGCAUGCAGAGAGGGCUUGGAAUUGGCUUUGCAUCGGACCAACCUACCCAUCGUGGUGGAGCUGGAUAGUGUGGAAGCGGUCACGAGGCUUACAACACAUGUGAUGGACCGCUCACAGCACCGUGUUCUAGUUGACGAGAUUCGGAGGAUAGUUACAUAAGAGGAUAGAGAGAUUUUUUUUACUCACUGUAGACGAUCUCGGAAUAAAGUUAGUCAUGAGUUGGCCGCGUACGGCCGUAGUACCCCCCGCACUGCUGUGUGGUUGCGAUCAGGGUUGGAAUUUGUUGUAAACCUAUCCAAGGCUGAUAAGCCUCCUUGAGUAAUGAAAAUCUCCUUUCACCCUGCAAAAAAAUGUACUCAUAUAAGGCUAGCUUUUUUUCCUGUUAAAAAAGAUAAAUAAUGGAGAAAUAUUUGGGAAGAUAACACUUGGCACUCGGUUGGUGGAACACGUCACAAUAUUAUUUCGAAUUGAUCUGUAACCAGAAUCUCAAUGCAAAAUACCCCAAGCAUACAACCGAGACCACGCAUGCACCCCAUCGCAUGGCCUCCACACGCCUUGUCGAUAUCCAUGGUGGCAUCUGCGCCGGCCGGGUGUCACGGAUCCCCCUUCACUCCCUCAGCGUGUGAACGUGGACGCUCCAACCCAACCGUGCCCCGUGUUCAGGAUAAGCUGGCCGGCUCGUCCGCCCUUCUUAUUGCCGCUGCUUCUCAUCUCACACGCUCCAACACUAUCCUCUCCUCCACCGAGUAUCCGCCUACGGAGUAGUACCUCGCAAGCUAGCUCGCAGCUCCGCCGCAAUGGCCACCGUAUUGAGCAGCCUCCGCUUGCCCUUCUCCGUCUGCCCCGCCGCCCCUUCGGCGCCCAUGGCGGCAUCCCGCGUCGCGCUCCCGCUGUCGUCGACGGCCGCCAGGGGCAUGAGGCUCCGCGCGCAGGCGACGUACAAGGUGAAACUGAUCACGCCGGAGGGCGAGGUGGACCUCGAGGUCCCCGACGACGUCUACAUCCUCGACCACGCCGAGGAGGAAGGGAUCGACCUGCCCUACUCCUGCCGCGCCGGCUCCUGCUCCUCCUGCGCCGGGAAGGUGGUCUCCGGCCAGCUGGACCAGUCCGACCAGAGCUUCCUCGACGACGACCAGAUCGAGGCGGGGUGGGUGCUCACCUGCGCCGCGUACCCCACCUCGGACCUCGUCAUCGAGACCCACAAGGAGGAGGAGCUCACCGCUUGAAUUCACUGAUUUGUUUAGUUCGACCCGUUUCCACCGUGCGCGUGUACCAUGCACGACAUUCGAACUGUAUCAGGAUAUUGAGGAGUUGCAAAGUACAGUACGUAAUUAGUACUUGCUGUUGUGGUCGGAUUUUGAUUGCUUUUGCUUAUUAAUGCCUAGUGUUAAUUUUCUCAAGUCAAUCAAGUAAUAAAAGGAGAUGAGAUUGUACUCCAUGUCUCCGUUACGCGUGCCUCGCGAUUCACUUAUGAUUUAGAUCCUUUUUAGUUUGCAUAUAAGUU
rnacentral:lncRNA from 1 species